rnacentral:lncRNA from 1 species
ACAAGAUUCAUGAUUAAUAAAUACCAACCAAAAAAUCGAGCUGAUGUGAACAUUGUGGAAAAUCCUUAUCGAGGCAUCUCUCUUAUUGAGGAUACAUUGGCCAGGUCAGAGAAAUAAAAAAAAAGGAAUCUUUCCAGUCUUUUCAACAACCAUUCAUGAUAACAUAAAUUUUCUCUAAUGAACAUAUAACUUCCAACAUAUCUAGUGCACAAUUUCAGGAGCAUCUUGCAUCCCCAGUCCUUCGUUCUGUGCCUUGAGCAAGUCCAGUUUCUUAUAGCAUUUGGCAGCAUCCAAGAGUAUGGUCAGCUCAUUGAAAAAUGCUUGGCUUAGACAAAUCGGAAUCGAGUUUCAUGCUGCCCCACUCUCCAUCACAACAUGCAAAGCACUACUUAAUCUUUGAUAGACAAUGCUAAUGAUACUAUCAGGAGUAACUGAGAACACUGAACACUGAGACUGAAGAAACAAUGACUGUAGAAUUUUGUUGCAAUUAACAUCAUAAAUUCUUACACUUACGAUACAAAUUUGAAGUGACCAAACAAUCUCUUACAGUGUUGAUCCCUGUCUAAGAACUCCAUAAGAUAAAGAUAAACUUAAAAGGAAAUCUGAAAACAAAAAGCCUAACUAGUAAUGAGUUUAUAUUACUGAAUAUCUUACUGAAUGAACCAUGAUUAACUAAAAAUGAGUUUAUAUUAUUCAUUGAUGAAAUUCACAUUUAGCAAUGUUUUCUUAUUGAGAUGGGGGAGAAAGGGAGGGAUAGAGAGAGAGAGAGAGAGAGAGAGAGAGAGAGAGAGAGAGAGUAGUANNNNNNNNNNNNNNNNNNNNNNNNNNNNNNNNNNNNNNNNNNNNNNNNNNNNNNNNNNNNNNNNNNNNNNNNNNNNNNNNNNNNNNNNNNNNNNNNNNNNNNNNNNNNNNNNNNNNNNNNNNNNNNNNNNNNNNNNNNNNNNNNNNNNNNNNNNNNNNNNNNNNNNNNNNNNNNNNNNNNNNNNNNNNNNNNNNNNNNNNNNNNNNNNNNNNNNNNNNNNNNNNNNNNNNNNNNNNNNNNNNNNNNNNNNNNNNNNNNNNNNNNNNNNNNNNNNNNNNNNNNNNNNNNNNNNNNNNNNNNNNNNNNNNNNNNNNNNNNNNNNNNNNNNNNNNNNNNNNNNNNNNNNNNNNNNNNNNNNNNNNNNNNNNNNNNNNNNNNNNNNNNNNNNNNNNNNNNNNNNNNNNNNNNNNNNNNNNNNNNNNNNNNNNNNNNNNNNNNNNNNNNNNNNNNNNNNNNNNNNNNNNNNNNNNNNNNNNNNNNNNNNNNNNNNNNNNNNNNNNNNNNNNNNNNNNNNNNNNNNNNNNNNNNNNNNNNNNNNNNNNNNNNNNNNNNNNNNNNNNNNNNNNNNNNNNNNNNNNNNNNNNNNNNNNNNNNNNNNNNNNNNNNNNNNNNNNNNNNNNNNNNNNNNNNNNNNNNNNNNNNNNNNNNNNNNNNNNNNNNNNNNNNNNNNNNNNNNNNNNNNNNNNNNNNNNNNNNNNNNNNNNNNNNNNNNNNNNNNNNNNNNNNNNNNNNNNNNNNNNNNNNNNNNNNNNNNNNNNNNNNNNNNAGAGAGAGAGAGAGUAGUUACUUAUUAAACAAACACAGUAGACAUGGCAAACGACAAACAUAUGCAAAAAUUUUAUAGAGGUAAAAAGCAAAAAGUAACCUGAGAAUACUUUCCACAUUGCAUAAAUAAACUAGAAACACUGGAAAACUUUAGUUCAUGCAGAAAAUGAGAAUAAAAUCAAUCAUCGCAUAUGACUGAAAAUAGACAUGUAGAAGCAUCAGACAUAUUAUUGAAAAAUUGUUAAAAGAAAGCAAGAAAGUGCAAAUAAAAAACAACAGAUAUAAUCUAGAUGAAUAUUCAAUGGAAUUUAUACUUGAUUUUCAAUGAACACAAAUGUCAAAAUGUAGUAAAUAACUUUCACAAGAACAAUUCCAUAAUUAAGAUUGGACACCGAAUACUUCGUUAGAUACUCCCAUAUGAAGAAGGCAGGUCCUUGGCAAACAAUGAAUACAUAAACUAUCUGAUUUAACUUUAAAGUUAUCUUGGAUAAAGUAUCGCACUUCAGGAUAAAUUUAACAUGAUACUUUGAAAAUUUGCCUAGAAAAGCAUAAUACUUGCAUGAUAACCUAGACUACCACAGGUUAAAAUUUGAGCAAACAAGAUAGAGAAGAAGAAAUUUCAAGGGAGAAAAAGUUCACAACAAGGAUAAGCUAACUUCCUGAAAUGAUUUACUAACAAAGGAUAUUCCGAUUUGGCCUGAUGUCUGUAAACUGUCAUGUCUAGUAUUCCAAAUCUUUAGCAAGCAAUUAAAGGCACAUUCCCUCAACAGCCGGAUUUUAUCAAAUCAUAAGGAUGAAGGUACCUCAGCGAACAUAUAUACAGUGAAGUUACAAUCACUACAAUUCCUCUCAUCACGGUUGAAUUUUGUCAAAUGGGUGAAUAACAACUUAGCAUUGCUAAGAACUGAACAAGCACUUGUGGUCAAAAUUUAUAGGACCCAUGGUCAAAAGUGCCAACCAUUUGCACGCCAAUAGCUCUGUGAAUUAGCAUUGAGACGUGCAUUUUUUACUUUCAAAAAGAGUCUGUAUGCAGUCUCUAUUUUAUUCAUCUCCAAUAGUUUGUUGUUUAGUUUACUAUAAACUAUUCUACCAAGGCAAAAACCUUUGUGCAGUGAUUCCUCCACAACCAGAACAGCAUUGUCAACCUGCCCUAUAUUGCAGAGUACAUUGACUAUAUACUCAUAAACUUCCUUAUCAGAAGCAUAACCAUUGUCUUGCAUCUCCUCCCAGAUUUUCAGCACCAUUCCAGAUUUACCAAACCUCGAAAGCCUCAUAAGCAAAAGCUUGUAAGCUUUCAAAGACAGCAUACAUCCUGCUUUCCUACUCUUUUUAUAAAGAAGCAUAGCAGCAUGGGGAGGCCCAAAGCUACAAAGAGGCUCAAUAAAACAUGUAAUCAUCCCAGUACUGGGCAAAAUUCCUUUACCUAACAUAUCAUCGAACAGUUCAAGUGCAUCAGCCACUCUUCUACCUUUGAGCAAUGCACCAAUCAAUUUGGUAUAAGUAUCGACGUUUGGCAAACACUCGCUUUGUGUCAUACCUUUAUAGUACUCAAUGCAUCUGUCAAAGUCUCCAAUUGAUAUGAAGUUAGAGAUCAUCGCAUUGUAUGUCAUAGUAUCUCGAGCACUUCCCCUCUCCUCCAACUUCUCGAAAACAUCCACAGCAUCAUCGAUCCGGCCAGCUCGUCCUAAUGCUUCUAUGAUGUGGCUAAACGUAACACUAUCAGGGCUCAAACCAUCGGUCAUCAUCAUCAUCAUCCAAUAAUGCUCUACCUUGUCAAGCCUACCGAACUUCGCCCACCCACCAAUAAUCUCAUUAUAUGUUGCAUUAUCAAAAGGAAUUUCUCCUUUAGUAGUGUUGAAUACAGAAUUUGCAACCUUGACAUGAGACCUUCGACACAGGCACCGCAAAAGUAUAUUGAGAGACUCCAAAUUACACUUGGCUCCAAUCUCCUCCAACUCCCUGAACAACUGAACUGCUUUAGAAACUUGGCGAGCCCUAAGAUAACUGUCCAUCAGAAUCUCCACGGUCUCUGCGUUGGGUUGGACAUCAGCAUUCUUCAUUCUAAGCAAGAUUUCUCCCACAAAAUCGAAGAACUUCCUCCGGCCAAGCGCCUUCAACAUCACGUUAUACGUUUCAACGCAAGGUGUCACCUUUGGCUGUUGCAUUGCCCAAUCGAAGAAGGAGACCAUCGCCUCUCCGCUCCAACUUCCCCUGUUCAGUACAUCGGCGAAGAUCUUCUCCGUCAGGUCGACGCCGACGGUGGAGAGCGCGGACUCCACGGCGGAUCUUCCCCGCAGCUUCUGAAGAAAGACCCCGCGGAGCUUCUCAUCAGGCGUGAGGAUUCGAUCUCGAAGGCUAAUCAAAGCCGAUUCUUGAGCUGGUUUCUCAGUCAAAAGGCGGGCUUUCGGAGGUUCAGGAUCGAUAGAGAGGAGCUCCGAUAGCUGUUCGAGGACGAAUCCCUCGGAAAGGCUAGUGUUCGAUUCAAUAGGAUCGGAAGAGCCUUCGCAAAGAUCAACGGAGAGGAAUCGAAGAAGACUAGCGAAGGACAAGGGGGAGAGUUGGCAUCGGCUUCUUUGGAGAGGGCGAAGGAACCCUAGAAUUCGAAGAAUCGCCAUUACCAGAUUUCGAGUCUCAGGUAACUAAAGCGGGGACGUUGGAUGAUCCUGUCCGUCCACGUGUCGGAAUAAUAUAAGACAGAUACGUACAAAUUGGACUUCAAUUUCGCACAUCGUAGUUUCUUCUAUAUAUUAAAAAUUGACAAAAUUGGAUCCUAAGAGUUAUAAAAGUAUAAUAAUUAAUUUUAUUUUUUAUUUUCUAACGUCAUCGAUCGUAUUAACCAAAGAUACAACGCAUAUCAUUAAUUAAAUAAUAAAAGAAUUUACUCAUUUUGUAAAUAGUUGAAUUAUUAAUUAAAUGAUAAAAAGAAAGGGGUGAUUGGCUGAUUUCUUCCCGCGAAUCGGUCUCUCUCACUCCCAUUGCAAUGUGCUGAGUAAUUUUUGGUUUGGGGAUUGAUCACGAACGAACGAACGAACGAACGAACAACAAAGCAGCAGCAGUAGCAGCAGCAGCAGUAAUGAAUAAAUACACUGAUAUGAGAUCGCAACAGUGGCAUUCAUCUGAAACCUUUAAAUGAACAUCAAUUUAUCCGAACAAUAAUUCUUCUCAGCAGAACAACGAUUCAUAUGCAACUGCUGCAUUCAUCCGAACAACAUUUCCAAGCAGGAAAGCUUUAAAUGAAAAAUAAAAAGACAGUAAAAGUCUGUUGUUGCAUUGAAAAAGUAACAUUCACAAUGGAGAUUGAAAGUAACGUUAAUGAGCAAGACCUAUUCCCUAGCAAUUGCUCAGAACAAACAAAGUUCUCCCCACGAAAUCUAAUUAAAAGUUUUUUUUUGUUAUCAAAUUAGAGUAGACUAAGAAGCAUUAGUUUAGACAUAGUAAAAGGAGACGAAAGAAAUAUUAAAAUUAUCAUUUUACCGAUAUGAUGUUAGAGAAAAUAGAGUCAAUUAUUUUAAUUUUAUAAUUUUACCGAUAUGAUCUCAAUAUAAAUUUUAUGUAAUUGAUAGAAGUUAUUAUUGUUAUGAUUCAUCGUUACUUCUUUUCUUGAAUAAUUUAAUGGUUUGCUUGUGGAUCUCAAUAGAACACAACGAAAGAUCUGAAAGAGAAGUGCCAAACACAGAAAUGCUUUACUUAAGUUACGUGAUCAAAUGAGUGGAAAAGUAGGUUUUUUUUUCACAUUGUAAGUUGGAAUUAGGUCGACAUGUCUCACACAUGUUGGACACUCACGUAAGAUUUAGAGUUUGUCGUAAGAUUUAUAUUAAUUAUAUAAAUACUAUUUUAUGUAUUUGACUUUUAGCUUGGAUAUUUAAAUUUUGAUAAUUUUAAUUGUUUUAACUGGUAUGAUGAUAUUUAUUUAUUUAUUCACAUUGCUGAGUUGAUAAAAUUUAAGCAUAAAUUUUAUAAGAUCCAUGUUAAUUGAAUAUUAUACAUACAUAUAUCUUUAAAAAUACAUGUGUUAUCGUAGUAUUCGUGUCCUAAUUUUUUUUAAAAAAAUGAAAUGUCAUGGUGUUUAUAUUGGUCUUGUAUUCAUGUUUAUGUUUAUGUUUCUUGGGGACAUAUUAAAUUCUUUCUAUUAAGAAAAAUGAUAUCUAAUUUAUAAUUUUAAUUUUUUUAAGAAAAAAAUAUAUUGAAAUAAGAUAAACUAUACUCUUUAUAGCAUACAAUUUGACUAAAAUCUAUUAGCCAUGACUCUCUCCAAAUACUACAAGACUUGAAGGUUUUCGCAAAAUGUGCUAAUAAGUUAGCACUCAUAUUUCUCUCCCUGAAAACAUGACCAAAUAUACAAGUUUGAAAACAACUUGCCCAACUAAAAAUAGUUCUAACAUAGUGUUUUAUCAAGUGCUAGCGAGGAUUAUCCUCUUUAUUAAGGAUUUUAAUAACAAGCUCUACAUCUAAUUCAACUUCAAGGUGUGUUAUCCCUAAGUAAUUUAUAAUCUUAAUUUGAUUGUCAUGAGUUUAGCCCCCCAGUAACAAACAGGUGUCUUAGAGGAAUUCAUAUCUAGCAAAAUUGCAUAUACCAUUGCUCAUCUUGAGAAAGAAUCCAAUCAUUCUUGUAUUAUCAUACAUCAAUAUUAAGUUUGAUCCAUCAUCCACUAAGUUUGGUCCAUGUUACAAGGAUUUGAUUUUCUCCAAUACAUCUAUCUAUCAGAUGACUUUUAAAUAUUUAUGGCAUAAAACAUAAGCUCUCAAUAAGAUAGAUAGUAAAAGAAUUAGCCUUAGUAUAAUUUCGAGCCUUCCAAAUAAACUAAAAGUAAUAGGCAAUAAAUAAAGGCUCUAAGAUCCAACUCCCUAAUCCACUUACUAUUUUUCCAUAUAUUUAUAAAUUAAAAACUUAUAUUCAACUCUCUUUUUUUCCAUAAAAUAAUAUUAAUAAAUUAUUUUGCUCAUCAACACAUAUGUAGAGGACAAAUAUUUAAUUUAGCCAACCUAACAGUGGUGGGAAACCUUUUACCCUGGGAAUGAUAAGAAGUUUCUAAAGCUAGACCCAACAAUUAGCCCAAGGGUUACUAUCAAGCAUAGGGCUUUUCAAAAAGCUUCCAACUCCAACUAAUAUUAACAACAGUGUCACUCUUUCAAUGGGAAACUUACCCAUAUUUAACAGUGUUAAUUUUGAACCAUAAAUUAUCCUCUUGAGACAUAUAGUGAUUCUUCUAAUUUGUGAGCAAUACUUAUAUUAUGGAGAUCGUGUAUAUUCAAACCAUUCUCAUGUUUGGGUUUAGUAAUAGUCUUCCAAGCAAUUAAGUGUACCAUUAUAUUUUUUUUUUGCCAAAGGAAGUCUCUUAUAGUUUUUUCCAAACCCGUCAAUACUCUAUUAGGAGCCAAAACACAUUGAAAGCAUAAGCCGAAGAAGCAUCGAGGACAAAAUUAGAAAGGGUGAUUUUACCGGCCUAUGACAAGUUGACCUCAUUCCAAUUGCCUAGCUUAGCUUCCUUUCUAAAUUUUGGGAUAUAUCAUGACAAGCAAAAGUAUGAAUUUUAUGAGGACUAAUUAAAGUGCCAAGAUACUUGAAAGGAAUUUUUUCGUUUUUUUACAUUGAAGAGAGAGCAUAUUUUACAUCUUUUCUCACUUGGAAUAUUGCAAGGGAAGAAGAUAUCAGAUUUAUUAAGUGAGAUCCUCUUGAAAAUUUUUCUUGAAUAUUACAACACGACUUCCUAUUGGCUCCAAAACAAAUAAGAAUAUUAUCAACAUAUAUUAAGUGAGAUAUGCUAAUCUGAUUUUUUAAAUUUAAAAGAAAGGAGCAUAUGAUCAAAACCACCUUGUUCAAUGAAGUAGUCAAAAUAAAAGGGGUCCCCUUGUUGGACUCUACGGUGGCUUUUGAAAUAAUUUGAGUAGUCCCCAUUAAUCAAGUAAGAGAAAAUAGGGAAGAAAAUAUAAGAUAAACCUCAUAAGAUAAAUCUAUUAGGAAAACCCAAGAGUGAUGAUGAUUAUAGUCCAAGAAAUAUUGUCUUAAGCCAUUUCGAGAUCGAUCUUAAACAUGACUAAGGGAUUAGAACCUUUGGAGUUAACAUAGAGUUGAUCACUUCUUGGGCAAUUAGGAUAUUGUCAUGAAAGCUUCUACUAGGGUGAAAAGUAGAUUGCUCAUGAGAUAUGAUUCUAGACAAUAAAGGUUUUAUCUUAGGAAGCGAGGAGUUUAGUAAGACUUUUGUAGUUAACGUUGCAAAGUAAGAUUGGUCUAGAGUUCAUAACCUAUUUAGGGUUGUUUGUCUUAGGGAUGACAACAACGUGGGUCUUAACCCAAUCCUUAUGCAAAGAAGCAUUAUGAUAAAAUUGAUUGAAAGCAAGGCCUAGAUGAUCAGAAAUAGUAUUCCAAUGAUUUCUAUAAAACUCAACUAUAUACCCAUCUUCUUGCACCCAAGAGAUUUCAAGGCUUCUCAUAUUUCUUUUUUAUCAAACGAUUGGAGGAGCCCCUCACUUUCCAUAGGAGUGAUACUAGUGCCAUAUGAUGAAAGGGUUUGCAGGACAAAGGUCAUUACUCUAAAGCUUCCGAUAGAAACUGACAUAUUCAUUCUUAAUUAACUCGGGUGGAUAGACACACCUAUUAGUAGAUCUCAUAGACUAGAUCAUGUUAUAACACCUAUGAGAUAUAAUUUAGAUUAUGAUAGAAUUUUGAGGUAUAAGGGACUCAAACGUGUUAAUCUCAUUGAUAGUGUUAAUCUCAUGUUACUUGCAUCGCUGACCGCAGGGGCAACCGCCCGCAUGGGCGACGGCUGCGGGAGUAGCCCCACGAGCAUAACCGCCCACGACGGCACCCAACCACAGGGGAGGCGUCGCCCGUGGGAAGGGGCAACGCCCCCGCGUCCCACAACCGCGUAGGCUGUCGUCGGCUGGGUGGCGACGACGACGGCGGCAACAGCAAGGGGAAAGAGAGAAAGGGAUUAGGGCAUUCUUGGGCAAAAAGAUAGUUUUGCCCCUCGGAAUUUAAGAAAUUUUAAUUCUAUCUUUUUGUUCAAAUUACAAAAAUACCCCUUAGAAUUUAGAAAUUUUCCUACAUGUCCUUGAUUUUAAAAAAAUAUUAAUUAAUUAAAAUUUUUAAUUGAUUAUUAUUUUUAUAAUUAUUUAGUAGUCCUACAUGAUGAUGAUUUAUACAUGUGAUGUAUGAUGUGUGGACGGAUGAUCAUGAACCGUGUGAUGUGUGUAUUUGUGAUUAUUAUUAUUAGGGCCUGCGAGCCUCCAUUAUAUUUCUCGUUUAUUGUCAGGCUUGCGUGCCUAUUAUUAAGUUGUAAUCAUACGAGGAGGCGUAGUGGGAGCGUAGAAGCAAUAGCGGGACCCACAAGACGGACGAUCGCGAUGUAUGGAAAUGCGUCGAGAUGUCGACGGAACCGACGAGGACGAGAUGGACGAUCACAGGGCAUAAAGAUGCACCGUUGCACACAUAGAUCUUGAUGUGAGUGAUUAGGCCUACUGGCUUGGGCCUGAUCACAUUAGGCUGUAGUCCAUGAUCAUUUGGUGUGAUUGCUUUUACACCUACUAGAUAUGUAUAUAUAUUUGCAUGCGAUAUAGAUAUAUAUUAAAUAUGUAUAUGUGUGACAUGUCAUAUUAGGAUUCCAAAUCAUAGAAACCCCUCGCUCGAUAAUAUUAAGUCGGUAAACGUGAGGUAAUUAGAUUUACCUACGUGGCAUUCCAUCGUUAUAGGUAGGGACCAAUUCCCGGUGUAGGUUAAGUUGGUUGAGUGAGUACCUUGAGGCUCACCUAUAUCACGAUUUGCUAUCUUACCUAUGACAUAGAGAUGUCACCGGUGACCUAAGGACAUGAUAUGCUUGGUCGAGUCCCUCGAGACCAUGGUGAUUCGGAGGCCGAAUAGGACGGGAAUCAUAAGGAGUUGUGAUCGACAAGAGUUACCUACCUUUUGGGCUUAGUGUGAUUGGUCGAGUCCCUCGAGGUUAUACUAAGAUGCUGAUUAGAUCCUGAUCCCCACUAGAAGUCUGCCGGAGACAUCCGUUUCAUGUGCUGGGUGCCACAUGACUCACUAGUAAAAUAGUGGGAAAAUAUUAAGAUAGAAGUUCAUAUCUUGAUUAUCUAUUUCUUGAAAAAUCUGUAUGUUAUUCAUUUCUGCUACAUCUUUAUUUUCAGAAAAUGUCACUUUCAAAUCCCUUACGUGGCAUACUUGAUGUCAACCGCCUCACUGGUCCAAAUUAUAUGGAUUGGCUCCGCAACUUGAGAAUUGUUCUCACGGCGGAGAAAAUCGCGUACGUCCUUGCUACAGUGAUGCCUAUGCCCGAGAAAGGGGCAAGCGAGAAUGAGAUCGCUCACUACGUGAAGUACAUUGAUGGCUCCACUCUUGCUCAGUGUUACAUGUUAGGCUUUAUGACUCCUAAGUUACAGAGACAACAUGAAAAGAUGGAUGUCAGAUCCAUUCUCCUACAUGUCCGUAAAUUAUUUGAGGAACAAGGAAGGACUCAGCAAUAUGAGAUAUCCAAUAGCCUCUUCCGCGUUAGGAUGACUGAGGGGACACCAGUUCAGAACUAUAUCCUAAAGAUGAUUAAGUGGAUAGUGAAACUCACAGGUCUAGAAAUGGUCAUAGAGGAUAACUUGUGUGUGGAUCUUAUGCUUCAGUCCCUACCAGAUUCCUUUUUAUAGUUCAUAAUGAAUUUUAAUAUGAAUAAGCUUGACGUGACUCUCCCAGAGCUCCUCAAUAUGUUGAGGGAGGUAGAGAGCACUGUAAAAAAUGAGAAGCCAAUUCUCUACACUAGUGAGAUCAGAAAGAAAAGGAAAAUAAAAAAGUCCUUUAAGAAGGGCAAGGGCAAGGGCAAAGGCAGACUACGUAAAGCAAAUGUUUCUAAGAAAGAUCCGACAAAGGACAAAGGCUAGUGCUUCCAUUGUGGCAAAGAUGGGCAUUGGAAGAGGAACUGCAAAGAGUACCUUGCAGAGAGAGCGAAACAGAAGCUUGGAGAAGCUUCAGAUACAUUAUUGACCAGUCUCCAUUUGUCAGACUCUUAUGAUAACACAUGGGUAUUAGAUAUGCUUAUUAUAUAUGUAAUUCGUUGUAGGUUCUGCCAAGGCCUAGGAGACUGGAGAGAGGCGAGAUAGACCUCAAGAUGGGCAAUGGAGCAAAGGUUGCUGUAGCAGCUGUUGGCGAGGUCGCCCUACAUCUGCCUGGUGGAGCUAUUAUUGCAUUAGAUGCAUAUUGUUUUGUUCUUUCUAUUAUCAAAAAUAUUAUCUCCACUUCAUGUUUGAUAGUGGAUAUAAAUUAGUUUUUGAGAAUAAUGGUUGUUCGAUAUUAUUAGAUGAUAAGAUCAUCACGAAAAGAACAUUGUAUAAUGGUUUGUGUAUGCAAGACACUACUCCACAUAUCAUGAAUGUAAGUGUGUCUAAGAGGAAACUAGAUGAGGUGAACAGUGCAUACAUGUGGUAUUGUAGGCUAGGUCACAUCCAUGAGGGAAGAAUUCAAAAGUUGCUAAAAAAUGGAUAUCUAGAUCCAUUCGACUAUGAGUCAUGUGCAAUUUGCGAGCAUUGCCUUCGUGGAAAGCUGACCAACUCUCCAUUUAGUGGAAAUGGAGAGAGAGAGCCACUGAGCUGUUGGAACUCAUACAUAGUGAUGUAUGUAGACUUAUAUCAACUCGUGCCAUUGGUGGUUAUUCCUACUUCAUUACCUUUACUGAUGAUUUCUCACGGUAUGGAUAUGUGUACUUAAUAAAGUACAAGUCUGAGGCCUUUGAGAAAUUCAAAGAGUAUAAUAAUGAAGUGGAGAACUAGGUUGGAAAGAGUAUCAAGACUCUUCGAUCAAAUCGAGGAGGUGAGUACUUAAGUACAGAGUUUACUUAGUUCCUCAAAGACCAUGAGAUAUUAUCCCAAUGGACACCUUCUUAUACACAUCAGCUCAAUGGUGUGUCUGAAAGGAGAAAUCGUACGUUGUUAGACAUAGAACAGUUCAUGAUGAGUUUCGUUGACCUACCUAUCUCAUUCUGGGGAUAUGCCUUAGAGACCACAGCUUACCUUCUGAACAGAGUUCCAACUAAGUCGGUAGUGUUUACACCAUAUGAGAUAUGGAAAGGGAAGAAGCUCGAUCUUAAGGUUGUUAUGCUUUGGGGCUACCCUGCCAAUAUUAAAAGACACAACCCCGAUAAGUUGGAAUGGAAGACAGAGCGGUGCAAGUUCGUGGGAUACCUCAAGGAAACUUGUGGGUAUUAUUUCUAUCAUCUCGAUGACCAAAAGGUCUUUGUAGUCAAGAGAACAGUGUUCCUUGAGAAGGAACACAUUCUUGGUGGAGAUAGUGGGAGCAUGAUAGAGUUGAGCGAGGUUGGAGAACCUAGCUCAAGAACCACUCUACAGCCCGAGUCUGUUUAAGUACCUAAUACAUAAGUUCCAACUUUACGUAGGUCCAGUAGAGUAUCACAUCCUCCUGAGAGAUAUAUGAGACAUAUUAGAGGAGAGGAUGUUGAGGAUAUUGAUCCACAGACCUACGAGGAGGCUAUUAUGAGUAUAGACUCUAGGAAGUGACAAGAAGCCAUUAAUUUUGAGAUGGAUUCUAUGUACUCCAACAAGGUUUGAAACCUAGUUGAUGCGCCCGAAGGUAUUGUACCUAUCGGUUGCAAGUUGAUCUUUAAAAACAAGAUCGAAGUAGAUGGAAAGGUAAAGACCUAUAAAGCAAGGCUAGUGGCUAAGGGGUAUAGUCAAAGGUAAGGUGUUGACUAUGACUAAACCUUCUCACCCGUAGUAAUGCUAAAAUCCAUCCGAUUUCUAUUGGCUAUUGCAGUACACUAUGAAUUGAGAUCUGACAGAUGGAUGUGAAAACUGUAUUCCUCAAUGGGAACCUCGAGGAGGAGGUGUAUAUGAUACAACCCGAGGGAUUUGUGUCCAAGGAUUGCCCAGAUGAUGUGUGCAUGUUGCUUAGAUUCAUUUAUGGACUAAAGCAAGCUUCCCGAAGUUGGAACAUAAGAUUUGAUGAGGCAAUCAGAUCUUAUGAUUUUGUUAAGAACGAAGAUGAGCCUUGUGUGUACAGGAAGGUAAGUAGGAGUGCUAUCACCUUUUUGGUGUUAUAUGUGGAUGAUAUCCUGAUCAUUGGGAAUGAUGUAGGAAUGCUAUCCACAGUAAAUGCUUGGUUAUCUAGACACUUCUCCAUGAAGGACUUAAGGGAAGCAUCCUAUAUAUUGGGGUUUCGGAUCUAUAGAGAUAGAUCCAAGAGGAUGCUUGGCUUGUCCCAGUCUAGGUACAUAGAAACCAUUGUCAAAAAGUUUAGCAUGAAAAAUUCCAAGAGAGGUCUCAUACCGAUGAGACAUGUGAUAUCGCUUUCUAGGAGUAUGUCCCCAAAGACUCCAGAAGAAAGGGCGAACAUAGAUAUGAUACCUUAUGCCUCAGCGAUAGAGUCUAUCAUAUAUGUCAUGCUAUGUACUAGGCCUGAUAUAGCGUAUGCUCUAAGUGUCAUGAGUAAGUAUCAAGCGAAUCCAAGCUUGGAGUACUAGAAAGCAGUAAAGUGUAUCCUUAAGUACUUGAGAAGGACUAAGGAUCUUUUAUUAAUAUAUGAAGGUAGUAGCCUCAAGGUUGAAGGCUAUACAGACUCAAGUUUUCAGUCUGAUAUCGAUGAUAGCAAGUCGAAUUCGGGGUAUGUAUACACCUUGAAUGGAGGAGUAGUAUGCUGGAAGAGUUCCAAGCAAGAUACUACUAUUGUCUCGACCAUAGAGGCAGAGUACAUUGCUGUAGCAGAGGCAGCAAAGGAGGGAGUCUGGAUGAAGAAGUUCAUCAUAGAUUUAGGAGUCAGGCCAACUAGCGAGGAGCUGAUUCCUUAUAUUACGAUAAAUACAGGGCGAUUACUCAAAUAAGGGAACUCGAGUCUCAUCAGAAGUGUUUUGAGGAGGUUCCAUCUUAUUAAAGAAAUCAUGGCUUUAUGAGAUGUAAUAGUAGAAAGAGUUCAAUCCGAAGAUAACAUUACAGAUCCAUUGACAAAGCCAUUGUCUUUGAGCGUCACAUAGGUUUGAUGGGGAUCAAACACAUAGGUGAUUGGCUUUAGGUCAAGUGAAAGAUUGCUAAUCAUAUGUGCCCAGCAAGCCAAUCACGUGAGUGAUGACACAUGUGACUUGACACAGAAUAUUUUUGCUUAUUAUAUUUUGGCAUUUAUCACUUUAUAUUAACUAUUACAUAUAUGCAUGUAUAUAUUAUGAUGUCCUUAGAUUUGUGCAAUGAGAAUCGGAUUAUGAUGAGAUCAAGAUAAUGAGACCGAUUCACCUUUAAACACAGAUCCUAAAUAAUUUCGGUCAUAGGUUACUCAAAAGGGACAUCGAGAUAAUCAGACAGACUAGUGUGCUGUAUACCCGUUUAUAUGAUUGAUGUAGCUGGUCUCAUAGCUGCUCAUGUGGGGACACUAGGGAUACAGUAUAGGUGCUCAUUGGAGAAUGAGUUCACUGAUUGAUUCGUUUAUGGAAUGCUGGAUGGUUGAUAAUGUCUUAUUGUCAGAAAAUGAUUUCGUAGUCCAAGUGAUGUAUCUAGUCCUUAGACUUGAGACACCAAGGAUAUCCUGUAUGAGUGCUAUAUUCUUUGAUAUCAGCCUUAUAGGUUUGAAUAUCCAAAAUCUAGUACAGUCGGUCAUUGGGAGUGACAGUCAACCUUACGAGGGCUAUUGAGCGUCGAUAGAGGAUCAUCCACUCUCGGCAUCAUGAGAGGAAUAUCCCAUGUGUUCUUACUCAUACAAAUCCCUAACCAGGGUCAUUUCGGAUUGAGAGAGAAAGAGUUCUCCGAUAAUGAGACUAUUACAUAUAUGCAUGUAUAUAUUGUGAUAUACUUAGAUCUGUGUAGUGGGAAUUGGAUCGUGAUGAGAUCACGAUAAUGAGACCGAUUCACCUUUAAACACAGAUCCUAAAUAAUCCCGGUCAUAGGUUACUCAAAAGGGACAUCAAGAUAAUCGGACAGACUGGUGUGCUGUAUACCCGUUCAUAUAAUGGAUGCAGCUGGUCUCAUAGCUGCCCGUGUGGGGAUACUAUGGAUACAGUACAGGUGCUCAUUGGAGAAUGAGUUCACUGAUUGAUCCGUUUACGAAAUAUUGGAUGGUUGAUGAUGUCUUAUUAUUAGACAAUAAUUUCAUAGUCCAAGUGGUAUAUCUAGUCCUUAGACUUGAGAUACCAAGGAUGUCUUGUAUGAGUGCUCCAUUCUUUGAUAUCGGACUUAUAGGUUUGAAUGUCCCGGAUCUAGUACAAUCGAUCAUUAAGAGUGACAGUCGACCUUACGAGAGCUAUUGAGUAUCGAUAGAGGAUCAUCCACUUUCGGUGUCAUGAGAGAAAUAUCCUAUGUGUUCUUGCUCAGACAAAUCUCUAGCUAGGGUCAUUUCGGAUUGAGAGAGAAAGAGUUCUCCGGGAGAAUCCGAUUAGAGCGAGACUCGAGUAGAAACCAUAUGGGUCUGACAACACCAUACCUGGUAUACGGUCUUUGGGAUAUUAGAUGGAUGAGGGACUAUAGGUACACGGUAACUGAGGACAGACAAGUCCAAUGAUUGGAUUCCCCUGUAUUAUCUGGGGACUACGGCGUAGUGGCCUAGUACGUCCGUAGUCGAUGAGUCGAGUGAAUUAUUAUGGCGAUAAUAAUUCACUGAGUUAGAAGGAAUUCUGACAGGUAUGACUCACGGUUAGCUCGAUAUUGGGCCUAGAGGGUCACACACAUAUGGUAGGCAUUGCGAUGAGUAGAGGUUCGAAUAUGAAACAUCCGCCGGAGCCCCUAACUUAUUGGAUAUUCAAUAAGCCCAUGAAUUAUUGGAUCCUAUUGAUGAGAUCCAAUAAGAGCCCAUAAGAGAUUAUUAGAUAAAGAUCCACUAAUCUAAGAGGCUUGGGUAGUUGGAUGCAAAUCCAAUACCCAAUAGGGGAGGAUCCAUUAGGGUUUGAUAGGGGACCUCUAUAAAUAGGAGGGAUUCAGUGGUUCAUAGGCUAGAGCUUUUGUUUGCCUCUCCUAUUCUCCUUACCCUCUCCACCUCAGAGUAGGCUUGGAGUUUUGAGGAGCGUCGUCACAGCCCUGCUGUGUAGAUCAUCACUAGAGAGGAGGAUGCUUGACCUCCUUUACCCUCUCCUAGAGAUCUACAAGGAUUCAAGGAUAUACGAUCUCCCUAUGUAACACAAUUUAUCUUGUACCUAGUUUUAAGUUUCAUGAAUUUUUACACACCAAUCUUCGCACGACGACGAACACAACUUUAGGAAUUUGGGAAUUUUGUUUUCUGUUCUUCCGCUACGCAUAUGAUGUCGCCCCCAAGAUUUCCCAACAGAAAUGGUUUGUAGGACCAAGGUCAUUACUCUAAAGCUUCGAAUAGAAACUGACAUAUUCAUUCUUCAAUAACUCGGGUGGAUAGACAUACAUAUUAGUAGAUCUCAUAGACUAGAUCAUGUUAUAACACCUAUGAGAUAUAAUUUAGAUUAUGAUAGAAUUUUGAGGUAUCAAGCGACUCAAAAGUGUUAAUCUCGUUGAUAGUAUUAUAGUAUAUUUUCUCGAUGUUCUAAUACUCUUAAGGAGCUGAGAUUUUUAAUGGGGUAAAAUACCCUUAAGGGAGCUGAGAUUUUUAAUGGGGUAAAAUACCUUUAAGGGAGCUGAGAUAUUUAGAGAUAGAGAUUAGAAGAAGUAUCAUAUAAAAUAUUCUAUUGAAAACUCACAAGGUCCUUGACCUUAGGAUAAUAAUUCCGAAAAUUUUGGUAAUGAAAAAACUUUCUUCGAGCAUGAGAAUUUGUAGAAAUUUUGAUCUUAAGAGGGCAAUGGUCAAAAUAUCCCCAAGGUAAAUGAAACACUUUAGAUCUACCAUAUAAGUUGAGCCAGCUAGUACUAGUAAUAGUAAUAGCUCUAUCGAAUCUCACCAGAAUCUUAGCUUGCCCCUUACUUUUAUUAGUCCAAGUAGGGGGAGUGCAGAAAAUCUCAAGUCAUUAAAUCCAAUCAAAUGAAACAUGUAUCAAAAAACAUGAACUGAAAUCGAAAUAGCAAAAUUACUACCACCUUUCUUAUUCUCUUUAUUAAUAAUAUGAUUAAAAUCUCCAAUUAGACACCACGGAAUAUCGCUAAAAUCCAAAGAAGCUAAAGCAAUCCAAAGGGCAUUUCCAGUAGAGACAUUGUUAUUUGCAUAAAUUACUAUUAAUAAUCAAGAUUUAGAAUGAAAUUCUUGAACUACAACAUAAAUGCAUUGAUCAUGGAAUGAGAUAAUAUGUAUUUGGAUUAGAGUAAUGUCUAGUCGCUUACCUUAUUGACGAAAGUCAUUAAAGCGCAGUUCGCCACCUUGCCCUUGUUGGUUUGCUCUUCAUCUUCGGAUGAGCUAGAUUCGUCCUAAGCCGCCUUGAAUGUUUUUUUUCUUUUUGUGGUAUCUUCUUUUUAAGUUAUUUUUUUUUUCUUUGAUUCUUGUUUUAAAAAUUUUUUAAGCGUUGUAGUCAAGAGUUCAAAGUCAUCAUCACUUGAGCUUUCGCUCAAGUGGUCUUCAUUUGUUCUAAGUGUCAAAUCCUUUCUGGUUUUUGGAAGAUUGUUCUCAAGCUCUUCAUGAGCGUUGCAAGUCAUCUCACAUGUCAUUAAUGACCCGAUAAAUUCUUCAAGAGAAAAAUUAUUCAAAUCCUUGGCCUCUUGAAUGACUGUUACUUUAGGGUCCAAAUUCUUUGGAAAUGAUCUCAAUAUUUUAUUAAUGAGUUCAAAAUUCGAAAAAUAUUUGCCAAGUGCUUUUAGACUAUUGACAACAUCCGUAAAACGGGUAUACAUGUUCUAAUAGUCUCGCUUGAUUCCAUUCGAAACAACUCAAAAUCAUAUAUCAAAAUAUUAACUUUAGAAUCUUUAACCCUACUUGUGCCUUCGUGUGUGAUUUCUAGAGUAUGUCAAAUAUCAAAAGUCAUUUUGCAAGUAGAAACCCGAUUGAAUUCAUUUUUGUCUAAGGCACAAAAUAAAGCAUUCAUAGCUCUAGCAUUUUAAAAAAAAAUUCUCUAAAUCAUUCCAUUCGUUUAUUAGAGUAGAAGACUUUUGAAAAUCGCUUUCGACAAUGUUCCAUAAAUCCAAAUCCAUAGAAAGCAAGAAAACUCUCAUUUGAGUUUUCCAAUAAAUGUAAUCCAUCCCAUUAAACAUGGGAGGACAAACGAUAUAGAAGCCCUCUUGAAAGUCGAAAAAAGUCAUUUCUCUUGGGUGUUAAACCAAAUAAGAAAAACGUGGCUCUGAUACCAAAUGUUAGGAUAAAAAUAUCAUCGAUUCAAAAAUCUUCGUUUCGAUUAAACCCGUUCUAGAAAGAUAUUAAACUUGAAAGUAUUCGUAAGAGUGUAAUGAGAAAGUAAAACAAGUAAAGAAGUUUGCAGUAAGGUAAAUUGCACAAAUAGAAAUGCAAACUAGAUUUUUAUAGUGGUUUAGUCAUCGUGACUUACAUCCACUCCGUCGAUUCCUCUUCCGUCAAGGCUACUAACAUCCACUAACGAUCUUCCUUCAAUAAGCGAUGAUCAACUACCCUUUUACACUCUUUCUCCUUUUCACGGGUUUAGGAGACAACCCUUACAACCUCUCUUUCUUAGACCUCACUUCUCCCUUUAGAAGAACUUUCUAAAUACUAGGAAGGGACUCUAAAUCCUAAGAGAGUUUCUAAUUUUUCUUUAUCCCUUUUUCAACUUAAUUUUGUGCUCAAUUCUUGCUACUCCACGUAGGGCCACCGCUGGUAGGGUGGUGACGGCGGUAGCAAGCAAGAGAAGGGUAGGGUUCUUGGGCAAAAAAAAUUAAUUUUGCCCUUGUGAAUUUGAGAAAUUCUAGAUUUGCCACUUCUAUCUAAAUUACCAAAAUACCCUUUACAAUUCUAAAAAUUUCCUACAUGUCCCGAUUUUAAAAAUAUUAGUUAAUUAAAAAUUUUAAUUAUUACUAUUAUUAUUAUUAUUAUUAUUAUUAUUAUUAUUAUUAUUAUCUAGUAGUCCUACACGAUAAUGAUGAAUACAUAUGAUGUAUGAUGUGGAUAAAUGAUCGUGGACCAUAUAAUAUAUGUGUAUAUGUGAUUAUUAUUAUUAUUAUUAUUGGGGUCUGCGAGCCUCUAAUAUAUUUCUCAUUUAUUGUCGGGCCUGCGUACCUGUGAUUAAGUUAUAAUUACACGAGGAGGCGCAUCGGGAGCGUGGAAGCGAUAAUGGGACCCACGAGGCCGAGAUGAACGAUCAUGACGCAUGGAAAUGCGUCGAGAUGCCGACGGAACCGACGAUGAUGAGAUGGACGAUCAUAGGGCAUGGAGAUGUGCCACCGCACAUAUAGAUCUUGAUGUGAAUGAUUAGGUCCACUAGCUCGGGCCUAAUCACAUUAGGAUGUGGUUCAUGAUUAUCUGGUGUGAUUACUAAUUUGAUGUGUGAUUAUUUAUACAUCUACUAGAUAUAUAUAUUUACAUGCGAUGUAGAAAUAUAUUAAAUAUGUAUAUAUGUGACACAUCAUAUUAUGAGACCAAAUCAAAAAUCUCCUCUCUUUAUAAUAUUAAGUUAGUAAACGUGUGAUAAUCAGAUUGACUCAUGUGGCCUUUCCAUCGUUAUAGGUAGGAACCAAUUCCCGACGUAAGUUGAGUUGGUCGAGUCAUUCUAGGCUCAUCUAUUUCGCGAUUUGCUAUCUUACCUACGAUAUAAAGAUGUCACCGAUGACCUAAGGACAUGUUAUACUUGGUCGAGUCACUCGAGGGCAUAUUGUCGAAUCAGAUUCAUCUUGUAACGAUGGUGAUGACUUAACCGAACACGAUGGUUGGUCGAGUCACUCGAGGCAAUGAUGAUUCGGAGGUCAAACAGGAUGGGAAUCACAAGGAGUUAUGAUUGGCAAGAGUUGCCUACCUUUACGGGCUUAGCGUAAUUGGUCGAGUCACUCGAGGUUACGUUAAGACGUUGAUUGAAUCCCGAUUCCCACUUAAGAUCUAUCGGGGGUCUCCGAUUCAUAUACCGGAGAGAGUUGUAUGAUUUGUGAGAAAAUUAUGGGAGUAUAUUAAGAUAGAAGUCCUUAUCUUAAUUGUUUAUUUUUUUACAAAAUCUACAUAUUAUUUAUUUCUAUUAUAUCUUUAUUUUCAUAAAUAUGUCACAUUUGAUGUCAACCGUUCUAACUCAGAGUGCUGCAUAACUCUGAACUGUGGAUUUCCUGCACUGCACACCACAGAGCUGAAGAACCUAAAGAACUGAGAGACAGACUGAUACGUUGCUCGAUUCAUUGCGUAGUUGAAGCAAGUAGGGAUUGUACUGGAGAUCUCAGUGGAUUUUAUUUAUAAACCGGGCCUUAAGAUCUAUAAAACUAUGUUAUGAUUUAUUCUUGUGACAUCCGUUCUACAAGUAUAAGUUGAUGCUAAGAAUGGCCACAAUCCAAAGGAAAAGAUUUCUUUUGGAGAAUUGAAUUCAUUUUACUCAUUAUAUCAACCUUUGUUUUUCUGAUACAUGCUGCAACAUGAAAAGGCUUCAAUCUCAUAUUGUUCUUUUCAGUUCACAUAGCCACAAAACAUGAAGUGGUUGGAGGACAGUUCCAGGAAAAAGAACAGUUUCUGCAAUCUUUCUGAAACUUACUGAUGUCUUGCAAGAGAAAACAAGAUAGUAGAUGAUGCUAGCAAGAACAAAAUAAUCUCAUUAGCUUCCGUCAAUAAAUGAGUACCAAUUGCUGGAAGAACAAAAAAUUCUUACCCAUAUGAACAAGAUCUGAGAGGAAGUCAAAGAUCCACCUAUCUUAGUCAAACUUCCCUGACAAAGUCUAUCUAGUUCGUCAAACUUCUCAUGUUUGCUGACUCCAUGAGAGGCUUCUGCUUGCAUAGCCACACACCUCUCAUGGUGGCUUGACUUGCUUCACCUGGUUAGUCAGGCUGGCCAAUGGUUUAGGUGGCCUGCAUCAUCCACCACCUUACCAUGGAUAUUUUUUUUGUUUGCCAAAAAGUAUAUAUAUAUAUAUAUAUAUAUAUAACUAAANNNNNNNNNNNNNNNNNNNNNNNNNNNNNNNNNNNNNNNNNNNNNNNNNNNNNNNNNNNNNNNNNNNNNNNNNNNNNNNNNNNNNNNNNNNNNNNNNNNNNNNNNNNNNNNNNNNNNNNNNNNNNNNNNNNNNNNNNNNNNNNNNNNNNNNNNNNNNNNNNNNNNNNNNNNNNNNNNNNNNNNNNNNNNNNNNNNNNNNNNNNNNNNNNNNNNNNNNNNNNNNNNNNNNNNNNNNNNNNNNNNNNNNNNNNNNNNNNNNNNNNNNNNNNNNNNNNNNNNNNNNNNNNUCAAAAGUAAUAUAUAUAUAUAUAUAUAUAUAUACUAAACAAUCUUUUGAAAAAUCAAACAUCUCAUCAUCGUUGAAAAAGAUGAGAAUAUGAUGAAGUCAAUGAUAGUGUAUUAAAAACAUAAAAUAAAUAUAGAUAUGAUCCAAUUAGACCAAUAUUUGAGGGAAACGCUCAUCUCUUGCAUCGUCAUCACCUCCAUGUGAGAGAUUCAAAAUCUAGCACAUUAAUCCUUAAAAUUCAAGGAAUAAUUCAAUUACAAUUGAUCAGAUUAUUAGGUGAAAUCCAGAGUUUAUUUCAAGGAAUAAUUUCAACAAAUAUGGCAUGUUUUUUUUUCCCUUUUUCGGAGAAUGAAAUGCACAAUUUAUUUGCACGUCAGAAUAUGUACAGAAGGCACAAGCGGAAAUCUAAAGCGACUCUUCUCACAGUCUCACUUCUCUUCAUCUUCUUCUUCUUCUUGCACUCGACUUCACUCCUCCUCCGUUUACCUAGGCUGCUGUAUCGUCCUCGGGCUCAGCUUCACGCUCACCACCUUGGCCGCCUUCUCCGCGUACUUGGCUCCCUCCGCCGCCCAACCCCUCGACGCCUUCCACUUCUCCGCUCCCCAUGUGAUCAACUCUCUGUUCCUUCCUCCGCCCUCCUCCUCCUCGGCUUCCUUUUCUGUUCCAACAAAGACGAGAUCAACGCGAUGGAUCGAGGAGGAGAGAGAGAUGCGAGAUGAGGGCUUACGGUGAGGAGCGGACAAGGAGAAGAGGGCGUCGUUGAUGUCGUCGGGCAGCUCGGGGUCGUCGUCCUCGAAGAAGUCGAGCACGGACUCGUGGAAGCACUCCCGCAGCCAGUAGUCGGCGAACCAGGGGGACGAAUGCACCAGAUCCCACCACUCCGACGAGAAGUCCUCCACCGCGCGCUGCGCCGCCGGCACGUACGGGGCCGCGUCCGGGUUCAGCCCCGACCUCGUCCUCCUCGCCAUCACCUCCAUUACUUCGAGCACUGCUUAUCCUCCCCUCUCUCUCUCUUUCGAUAUCCGAUGGUUGACGAAUGGAUAAGAUAGAGAGGAAUCCAUAUAUAUAAAAACGUUUCAACGAAUGAGCCCCUCGAGUUGGAUCAAAAUAUCGGUAAUACCAGACCGCCCACAGGAUAUUUCUAUUACCGCGGACACGAGAUGCUGACCGUGUGAUCUGAAAUGGACGGUGACGAUAGAGGUUGGAGCGGAAGUCCCAUCGUUUCUCCUUUUCGCAUUCAACUGUCACCCACAGUUGUCCACCUCCUUUCGUUAUCAAAUGGGGCCCACGCCUUCUCCAAUCAAGCGUUGCUAUAAACCGUAGACUCUCGGGACCAGGAAACGGUGGACGGCCGCGUGGUGGGUUGGGACCAUUUGGAAGACGUGCGAUACUUUUAGAAACAACAAUUACGUUUUCUCCCGGUUUACGGUUUACGCUCACUUUCCUGGCUGAGCUCGUUUGGGACCCACAGGUGUACAACAAUAUUUCUGAACAAUGAUCGAGCAGGUAUACAUUGGGUAGAGAGGAUCGCGUGGAAAAGCGUAAUCAUUGAGAAAAUAAAAAGAAAGAAGGCGUGCCACGAGGAAAGGAAAAAGUGCGCCAGUCGAUCGCUUACACGUCAAUGGUUUUAUCCGAUCUGUUUGUUUACGAUAGCUUUGGAUAGAUACUAUCUUCUUGUCGGGGUUUGCAUCGGCACGGACACAGAAAGACCAGACGGCGGUGAGCGGAACUUAGCCGGGUCUGAAGACCGGUUCGCUUAGCUUACCACUCACCUGGGCAAAGAGGCUCAAGGCUUUUUUUGGAACGAAGUUGCCACAUUCUCGGGUGCGCGGUGUGCUGAACCUCCGAUUUACUCCCGCCGUUGGCUUUUUUGAUCGCAGCGGUAGAAAUGCAUCCCAGCCGUUCAUCUUUACGGAUCCAGAUCACUUAUUCUACUCGAAUCCAAGAUCAGACGCGGAUUCUACUUUUUAAAAUAUAAACCCGAUUAAGACAAAUCCGAGCCAGUAAGGAGCAUGCAAAUGGGAGUAGGAAAAGAAGGGUAAGGUGGAGGAGACCUCCUCUGUAAUAAAGACGACCUGGUUCCGAUAAAGUUGCAGAGUCCAUGGCCUUAGGUCAAAGUGGACCGCAGUUGCCGCUGCUCCAACGCUCUCUGCCUCCUCUCGAGAGGCGAGAAAGCGGCAAACAAAAGCUUAGACUCCACCAUCUCUCAGAACCCAUGACAAUGUAAUGAGAGUGGAGAGAGAGUUUGAUGCUGUCUAUGUUUAUCUGCGGUUGAGAUUAUAAUGUGCUUGAGGGAGUAUUCGUUCUUGCUUUGUAACACCAAUUAAGUCACAGAUCAUCACUCUACUUAUUUCAUGGAUGUGAAGUCAUUGACUGCGGUAGAUUGUAAUAGAACAACAUGGAAAGAGCAAAAGCAAGUGAACCAAAAGCGUUUCUAGGAAGAAGACAACUGCAGGCACUAAGUACAUGGUUUGCGGACGAAGUAUCUGUAAGCAGCCACCUUCCUCCUCCUGGAGUUGGUGUUGUCUAUGGAGAGCACCAUCUUCCCCACCUCCCUGGCGGUGUACACGUUGUGGAUCGGCUCGUCCGCCGUCGCCGGGACCCUUCUGGUCUUCUCCACGAUGAUCGUGUAGCUUCCGCCGUCGCUCGGCACGUACUCGGCGCCGUAGUCCACGUCCCAUCCUCCCACCGCUAUGUCCCAUGUGAUGCUUGCCCCUCCCUGCUCCACAAUGCAGUGGUCAUUACUCGUUGCUCAGUGUCCAAGGCGGUGUCGCCGCUUCAGGAUAAGCUUACCUCAAUGCCGUCGAUCUCAAGGUUCACUCUUUCUCCGCCCUUGAUGGUGAACUCGGUGGCGGGCUUGGGCGGGCCAUUCUGUAGGUCCCCUGGCCGGCUCAGCCCUCCGUACUGCACCGGCACGAACUCCGGCCUGAUGAAUCUGCAACAUCUUAAUAGAUUUAAAGGCUCUGUGGAAGUAGUUGGGGGGGGGGGGGAGAGAGAGAGAGAGAGGUAGUNNNNNNNNNNNNNNNNNNNNGGGGGGGGGGGGGGAGAGAGAGAGAGAGAGAGGUUAUCGUGGACUACUUGUAAAGGGUCUCGGCCACAUUGCUUUCUCUGGCGAUCACGAACUUGCUCUUUGUCCUCUCCGUCAGAAAUGGACUAAUCAUGGCGUACAACAGAGUGAAAUACCAGGGCACGUUGAUGAACACCUGCGGUUGAUGUUAGCAGAGAGAAGAGGAGGUGACGUCGUGAUGAGGAGAGCUUGACGUUUACAGACCUUUCUUGCGACCAUCUCAGGGUAGUUGUCCUGGAAGAGGGAGAGGAUGUGCUGCGAGGCGGCCCGGAGCUCGCGCUUGGGCAUGUCCUUGAGGUCGGUGACCUGGAUGAUGGAGUUGAUGCCGCCAGGGCGGAGUUGGAGCAAGCGGACGCCGCGCUCCAUCACCUGGACGCGCCACCGGAGGAAGUGAUGUAGCUUGUCGGCGUCGCCCAGCACGCGGUCGUACACGUCCUUGUCCUUGAAGACGCCGCAGGCGUUGUAGCACACGGGGUGGCCCCACCGGUCCCAGCCGUGCAUGUACGCCACAACGCCCUCCAGCUCCUUGAACCCCACCAGCUCCUCCUCCGCCACCUCGUCGGCGCCGAACUCGCGCCGCCACUCCACGCAGCGCAGCAGCAUGGCGUGCGCCUGCCCCGCGUCGAAGUCGCGCGCUCUCAGAAACUUGAGGAGGACGACGACCGCCCGCUCGUCGCCGGCGGCGGCGGAGGAGGGGGCGAGAGGCACGCCCCAGAUGGAGAUGGGCUUGGGGGAGACAGCGAGGAGUUGCUGCAGCUCCUGGAGGGCCUUCAGCUCGGCGAGCUUGAGGCUGGAGAGGAGGUAGCAGUCCUCCUUGAACGAAGGGGAGACGUGGAGCGCGGUGGGGGCUGCCGUGGCGCCGGCUGUGGCUUCCAUGAGGGAGCUCAGCAGGCUUCUCUUGGUGGCAGGAUUGGGAGAAGGGACGGGCUCAGUGGUUGCUUGGGAUGACUCCAUUGCUAAAGUUGAGCUGAGAGAAGGAAGAGAGCUCAAGCUCGUCGUCUUGCUCGAUCCUCUUGUUUGCUUGGGUUCCACUACAGCUCAGCUCCUGUUACUACCAUUACUAGUGGUGUUGCAGAGAGAGAGAGAGAGAGAGAGAGAGAGAGAAGAUGGGGAGGGAAGCUAAAUUGAAUUGAAUUGAAUUGACUUGAAAUGAAUGGGAGCGGUGGAAGGAAGGGGAGGUGGAAUUAUGGUGAUGGCGUGAAGGGGGAGUCCUUCACUUGAGCUUUUAUGACCAUUUGGAGCAGAUGGGGAGAGGAAUGCAUGGCGGAUCCGUGAAUGCUUUCUUCUUUGAUUUGUGGGAUUCUCUUUUUUUGCCCUCUUUAUCUGCACAUUGCUUAAACUAUUCUGCUUCUUUGGUUGCAUCGAAAGUGCUUUAAAGAAGAACUUUAAGAUUGGAUACGGAAGGCUGAUGUUACAUUUGCUCGACAAAAGAUCCAAAUGCCAAAUGUGAAACUGCGUUUAAGGAAUCGUUUCUUCCACCUCCAAAAUGGUGGGGUGUGACGAAAAAUAUUUACAUGUGAUGAUCGAGUGGAAAGAAUAAAAAAUAAUAAUAAAAUUCUCAUAUUAGUUUGGAAUGAGAGAGUCGAUCGAUAUAUAUUGUGCUUAGGAAUUAGAUGAUAUUGGGUGCAGCCAAACGACAACUCUAUGAAUAAAGAGUAUAAGAGCAACUAAUACAUAAAUAUAAAGAUAUUUUAUCUAUAAGAUUUAUGUAUAAGAUAAAAAAGAGUCGAGCAUCAUACAUUGAGUUUGACUCAUAUCCUAAACGAUUUAAGAUUUUAUAUUGCGUUUGUGUCUAGUUUCAUGUAUGUUAAGAUUUGAUCGGUCUGAGUGAGACUCGACUGAUCUUAGAAUAAUAACAAAAUUAUUAUUAUUAUUAUUAUUUUUAUAUAUGAGAAACUAAAGUCUAAGAUAAGAAGGUUAAGUGAGAGAAAACCCAAUGCAAUCCAAUCCACCAUGACCAGUAAGCUAAACCUGUGUGUGGAGACAAAGGUAGAAGCAGGGAGAAGAUGGAGGAGGAAGAGGAGCUGCCGCUGCAGCUGGAGAAGGGUUCGUCCCAGCAUCCGAAGGCACCGCUCUCUUUGAGGUCUUCACCUACCGACAACAAACCGUCGCCCGGAGAUUGGGUGCUUCAAUUCCAAACCAACAAAGACCAGAAUAUUAGAUCAUGGUCGGCUUUUCUUCUUCAUCGUAUCAACACUGAAAAGAAAAUGUUUAUUGUAUAACACUAAAAAAAAACCAUUAUAAUAUUCUUUACAUAUAUAUAUAUAUAUAUAAUAAAUAAUAGUAAUUGUUGUUUUAUAUUCCCACAUCAAUGGCAACGCAAUAGGAGGGAUUGCAAUCAAGAUGAAGUUCAACAGAAGAUGAUCUGAGAGCAUUAAACCAAGCAACCACUGCAUCAUCAGCCGAGGGAUGUCUUCUUCCGUGUAAACACCGCACAGAGAACAAUGUCGGAUGUCCAUUUCCAUUAUUCUCUAGCUGUGGCAGCUCUUGUGACCAUCUAAUCCUAAGGGAAGCAGACUGCGACACGACGAUAACUCUGCCAAUCGAUGGAUCUUUUGAGCUCAAAAACAAGUUCACAAAAGCCUUUUACAGCUCUGCAUUCCACUUGCUACUUUCACCAUCCAAAGUAUUAUUUCUUUCCCCCUUACUUUGAUACCGUGUACAUAAAAAGCAGUGUCAAGUGGUGUGCUAAGUACGGUGUAGUAUUAUUGUACGCUGACUUGUUCUUUCUCCAUUGUGAAGGAAGGAUUCGAAUCAGGAGACCUUUGACCGUACAAAUCCAGUUAAGAAAACUUGCUUUAGAUUUGAUAUUUGUUCUUGGAAGGAAACAAAACAGAUAUGGUUGAGUUUGGAAGACAGCAACGAGGAAAAUAAAGGAGCUUGGAUUAGAUGAUGGUAUUUAAUUAAUGGAAGGAGGAGGUUGUGCAAGAUUUGUAUAUUCUUUUUAUUUAUUUUUUUAUUCAAAUAUUCAAGUAUUGCAAUUCCACAGAACAAAACAAAAAAUAAAAUCAUAGAUGAAUAUUCUCUAAUAAUGUGUUGUAUGGAAUGCUAUCACUAAAUGGGUAUCAUUAUCCGACACAUGUCUCUACCACCCGCUUGUGCUUCUUUCUUGAUAUAUUCAUUAAUUUAAUUGCGUGAAUUAUUUUGCUGACAUAUAAAUGCAUCACAACAGAUUAAUGGGUAUCAUCCCUCCUUACAUGCAGUGAACCAAACCGAAGAAGAAGAAGAAGAACGCCAUACGACUACUGCAUAUUACAGAGACGAGGAGAGGGUGAAGCCGUGGAGAGGGAUCAGCACAGAGGAAGGUCCGCGGGAGGCGGCAACAGAGACUGCAGCUCGCCGACGCCGUUCUCCACCAGGAAGGCCAUGGCCAAGCCCCAGGUGAUGUGCACGUCCAGGUGGCAGUGCACUAGCCACACCCCUGGGUUGUCCGCCACGAACCGGAUCACUGCCCACCCGUUCACCGGCACCCCCACCGUGUUCCGCAGCGGCGGGUCCACCAGAUUGAACCUCGCCGAGUCCCUCGCCGGGUCGAAGUUCCCGAACCCCGUCGCCAGCACGUAGAAGUGGUACCCGUGGAUGUGCAUCGGGUGUUCCUCCCCCGCGAAGAUGUUGGUGCCCUGCAGCACCAGCUGCACCACCGACCCGUACUUGAGCGGGUACAACUUCGUCCCCAGCACCGGCUGCCACAGCCCCCGGCUGACGUUGGCCGCAGUGUAGUCGAAGGGGACCGGCGGAACCGCCGGGAAGUCGGUGGUGAACACCCCGGGCACGCCCAGGUGGUGGGCUUGGAGGAGGGAGAGACCGGUGGGCAGCUGGAAGGAGACGUUGUUCAUGCUGGCGCCGAAGCGAGUACCGUUCGGGCCGCCGCAACGCCGGCCAGGCGGGCAGUUGAACAGGCCCAGCCCGACGGUGAAGAAGAGGUGGUGAUCGACGGGGCCGGGGAUCUGGACGGGGUAGGGGCUCCUGAUUCCGGCGGCGAAGGCGGUGGCGGUGGGCGUGUCGUUGAAGUCCGGGAGGACAGGGAACGGCGGCGGGAGCCCCGGGCCGUUCUUGGUGGGGCAGCCGCUGUUCUUAUACUCGAGGACGGCGGUGGUGGUGGUGUUGUCGAAGGCGACGCCUCGGGCGCUGGCGUAGGCGUGGGCGGCCAUGUAGUAGCGGCCGGGGGGCUGGUUGGUGGUGACGAAGACGUCGGUUGUCUGCCCCGGGCCCAGCAUGAGGACCGCGGUGGUGAAGGGCUUGGUGUAGGCGGCGUCGGCGGCCACGACCGUCAUCAUGUGGCCGGCGAUGCUGACGAAGAGCUCGUUGUUGAGGGCGGCGUUGAUGAACCGUAGUAGGUUGGUCUCACCCAACGCCACUGGGAAGACCGUUGUAUCUUUGUUGGAGCAGUUGUAAAGAUCGCCGGGCUGGCCAUUGAUGGUGAAGGCGUCAGAGACGUUUGGGGCUGCUCCGGUCCUCGUCGCCCGCCGGACUACGCUGAUGGGGUCCUCAUUCCACCACUCCCCUGUUCCAACGCCAUAUCGUCAUUCAAAUCUAUGCAUACAUGUGUAUAAGAUUUGGAAGGGAAAUUAGUACCGAGGAUGACGGGGAAUUCUCGGUGGGGUUUGGGGAAUGGGUAGGAGGAGGCAUCUCGGGGAUAGAUGAUGAGGGCGCCAUGGACGGUGGCCCUGAGCCAGGAGCUGUGUGCGUGCCACCACAGCGUGCCUUCUUGGUCCUCGAUGGUGAACCGGUACGUGUAGCUGCCGCCGGGCCUUAUGGGGCACUGCGUCACGAACUCCGGCCCGUCCGCCCACGCCGUUCGCAUCUGUCGAACCCCGUGCCUGUCAACACGCAUCACUCGGAUCUCGUUAAUCUGCGUCCAUGCAAGCAUGCCUGCAUGCACAGAUUAUAUAUAUAUAUAUAUAUAUGUAUAUAUAUAUAUAUAUAUAGUAAAUAUAUAUAUGUAUAUAUAUAUGUAAAUAUAUAUAUGUAUAUAUAUAUGUAAAUAUAUAUAUUGCUUGGUUUGGUAGCAGCGGUACCAGUGAAGCGUGACGUUGUAUUUUGCUCGGUUGACGACGUUGACCACGAGUGUGUCUCCGUUUCGAACCGCUAGCGUCGGACCGGGGUAUUGGCCGUUGACGGUGAUGAUGUUGUGGGUCUUGCACAGCCUCUUCACUGGCGUCGCUUGGACCUGUUCACAUCCGGUUGACUUCAGAAAAUGAACACCAACCCAAUAGGGCAGAUGACAACGCAGAUGAGGAUCGAGGAUGGAUGGCAUACCACAAACUCAUGGUAGUGGACUUCUGCAUCGGCACAAGUGAACAUUACGGAGGACCACAGCAGCAGCAGAGGCAGCAGGAGGAGGAGGAGGAGGGAGCACUUGUAUGAGUUCUUGAGUGCCUCCAUCCCCCUACUCAAUCCUAUUCCAGGUAGUGAGUGAUGCAGCAGAAGCGAUUGAGAGGUUCCAACCCAGUACUUGUCCAGUUGUUUGGUGAUGCAACAGCGAUUGAGAGGGCUGCGUUAUUUAUAUACAAACGGAGGUAAUGGGUUUGUUUGUGGUUGGAAGAUUAGGUUUUGAAUUGUGGAGAAAAAGAGUGCUUGUAUAGAAUUUUUUCACCAAUCCGAGGGCUCAAUCUCCGAGGAACAGUUGCACUACUACCAUAGAGGGAGUGGUUAUACCCACUAGAUCACAAUAGUUGUAGAAGAAGCCUCAUCCCACAUCGACAGACCUUUUGAUUUUUUGUGGAAAUGAUUCUUGCACUGCAUGCAUGUUUUUAAUCAUUGUGGCUCAUAUUCCAAAUGAUUUGUUAUGACGUACAAUCCGUGGCUACAUUAGCCAACUAGUCAAGAGUGCCUUUUUCAUUCUUUGCAGCAAACAAACUCACAUCUUUCCUAUAGUUAGGUCCUCGGUGAAGACAAUUGUGCAGAUGUGUGGUUAGGGUUGUUAGAGCAAGAACCAUCUUUUCCAGCAGUGAUGUUGUUUGACUUGUCUAAAUUGCCGGGUGGAGAAGUGCAAUGAGCCUUACAAGUCAAUUCUCAAUUUCCACAUCCUCUUCGCUCUUGGCACUCGUUCUUUUUAUGUCUGAAUCAAAGUCGUCAAGAGUAAUUAAUUCGACCUGCCAUGUGCUCUCCAAGCCCUUCUUCAUCAUCCCAUCACUAUUUGAUCCAUAACUUCCCUACAAAUACAAGAACAACAGGAUAAUUUGAUCUAUUCACUAUUUGCUCACUCAGAAAGGCCACCUGGAACAAUUUCUUAAUUAGAUCUAUUCAUUUUCAUCAACAGGAUAAUUCUAUUUCUAGCUACCAAUAAGACUUCAAAAGGAAGGAUAGAAUCAUAAAAUCUUCAAGAAGACUUUUUUAUUGACUACAAAAAAGCUUCAAAUUCAAAACCCAUUCUGUAACAAUUUUUCUAUCAACAGAAGCUGGGAACCAUAAAUCUAUAGCAUCUCGUAUUGUACCACCCGGUUCAGAGAAGCUAGCAGACGCGCUCUCUACUUUCUGCAUAUGAUGACACAUCAUCAGUUGGUAAUUAUAUGCUGGACAAACCAUUGUCACACUGAAAAGUUGCUUUCAGAAGCUAUUAAUACAAAUUCUGUAUCGGUAACUGCUUAAUGAUAUCUGGACAAAUGUCACACCACCAGUGGUGAUUUUCAUGUACAUGCCAGAAAGAAGUCAGUGCACAAGACACAAGAUAUGUAUUCCAACGUGAAAUUGUUCUCAUAUUUUGUUAUACUUGAUAUGCUGACUUCUUACGUGAAAGAAGCCAGCAUAGCACAACAGUCCAACUGAUGUUGUCCAGCUCAAAACCAAAUCUUCAUCAUCUCCCUCCUUCGUGGAUGCACCUUAAGCUUUUAAGCCAGCGGUUAGGAAGAGCACCAUCUAUCUGACUUGUAAGAUCCACGAGGUGCAGUCAUGGAGUAGCUGGAACUUCUGACAUGCUGCUAUGCUGAGAAACACUUGCAUUUUGCCAAGGAAUGCCAACAAGUCUUCAUGGCACCGGAAUGAGCCACCACAUGCACACUGCUCCACUAAGUGAGCAGCUUUAACUUGUCUGCACCUGUCACAAACAAGAUCCUGCAAGUGGUAAAGCCUUUCUCUCUGCCUAACUACUUGAAGGAGAGCAUUCUCCAUCUGCUCACGAUUGUAUGGCUGUCCACAAUGUGGCACCGCACAGUGCCAAUUAUCCUCCAAAAGUACUGAAUCAUGACAGAAGUCUAAAUCCCGGCAAUCAUUGCAGUAACUGCAAAUAGAAAACCUGAAUUAGGAAUGGAGUACAAAAGAAAGGCUGGAGUGUAGAAUACGGGCAAGUUCCAUGAGUAAGACUCUACUGUCAGAAACUUGGAGCAUAAUAUGACCUUUGAGAUUAUUUUGUUACUCGAUGUCUAAGAUGCCAAUAAGCUACCACAACAUAAACAAAAUUGAUCUCCACCAUACCUGCAAAUAAUAUUCGGAAGUGUAAAAGACUGACAUGGAUCACGAAACUGUGCUUCUGGAGAAAACUCUUUGACAUGGAUCCGUUUUAAUAAAUUCUUCCUCAUCCGCUGUCAAGUCAAAGCAUAUAAUUCAGCAACCAUUGCCAGAAGCUUAUAAUAUUUUGAAUGACAACCAAUAAACACAACAUAAUAAAAUUAAUGUAAAUACACAUAACCACAAACCGAAAUAAAUUGCAUGUCAAAUGCAAACUUAUUUUUAGGUUGUAUUUCAUUCACUCUUUUGGACUUUGAAAUGGACUUUAUUUUGCAAACAAACAAUGUAGAUUUUAAUGCAACCCUUUAUAUUGCGCACAUUUUCCUUGAGGGAUUAAACAAUAGCUUCAAACAACUAGAAUCAAUUAAUAAAAAAUGAAGUUAAAUAACUCAUAGAUAAGAAAAAUUAUUUGUUAUGACAAGGAUGAGUUUUACUAGUGGACCACUAAAAGGAUCUUGUUUGUCUCGGGGAUCAAAGAAAGACAACCAAUUUCUACUCAGUAAAAUUUAGAAUCAAAUUAUACUUUGGAGAAUUACCAACAAAAGUAGGUUUCAACUUCAUUUGAAUUGUUAUUUCCAUAUGUGCAUUAGUGAAAACUAAAUUUAUUUGGAUCAGAUAUCUCCAGCAAAGUCUUGUACCAACAAGUUUGAUGCAUCAUAGUUAAUUUCAAAACUAUAUAAAUCCACUUCCAACUUGAUCAGAGAACAUUUACCAUGCUUGCCAUUUCGGUCAUGAGCCAAUCAUAUACCCAAAACUAAUUGCUGAACUCAGCAGAUAUUUUGUACAGUGUCCUCACAGGGAUGAUGCAAUAAACAUGAUACACAUAUGAGUAGCACAACUUUAUCUAGACAUGGCAGAAACAACUUCCAAAAAGUUGGGUCCCUCACAGAGCAGAAAGUUUGAGAAACAAUGAUUACCUAGUUCUAGCAACUGAAGGCACAUAAUGAAAUUUAGAUAAACAAGAAUUUGGGAAUUUCCUUCUUCCAAAAUUAACAAUUAAACAUAGCACUAGCCACUUCUUAUUAGAUAGGGUGAUUUAGCUUGAUGACCAUAUUCCUAAAAAAUAUUGCAUGUAAACUUUCUGCACAAAAAUAUAAAGAACAAAGCACUAUCAGAUAUUCUUCUUAUUAUAUAUUUAAAUAAGAUAAAAGAAAUAGGGUUGUAUACCAGAACAUCAUGUUUAACAUUCUGAUCAAGAGCAAGAACAGCACACACAUGCUUGAUGAACUCUAAUGCAGCAUCUCCCUUAUUUCCUUGGGAUCCAUAAGAACAGGGGAGAACAUGAGUUGCAUGUAGGUCCUUAAUUCCUUUGUUUUCUCCCUUGAAACGGCGGAGUAUAUCACACACAAUGUUAAGAAGCUUCUCAGUAAAAUAAUUGCUGAUCUGCAACAGGCAAAAUUUGGAAUAAGUAGAGAUAAGCUUGUGUCUGUUGUUACUACAAGUUAUAUAUACCUGUUCUUUGAUGUAUUCAUUGACACAAGCUUCAAUUGUUUCGGCAGCUGUGACUGUGAUUGAUUGAGUACUAGUACUAUCAUCCAUCAUAUUAGUAGUUCGGAUCAAAACUUGUUUUUGUAAGUACUUCCAUGGGAUAUACAAGAACUCUGACACUAUCAAGACAAAGUGAUCCUGUUUGGCACCAAAAGAUUGUUUGAAUUAUUCUUCCAUUUAGUGCAUUAUCAGGUAUCAAUAUAGUUAAAAGGAACAAAUACUAGUCAGAUUAAUAAAAUCAAAGCUAUUGUUUUCAUGAGUAGAUAUUUUUAUUGGGAAAUGACGAACCUUAGUGACCUUUGGUAGGUAUUCUGCUAUAUUCCAGCUUGAUACCAUGUUCAUUUGAGAAUUAUCCUCCAUAUCCUCUACUGGCAACCCCGUAGGCCAUUUGGCUUGAAUCCCUCCAUAAUUUAACUGCAGUUCAUAUGUACAUUUUAGCAAUCUAAUAUAGCUUAAAUCAUUAUAUAUGUAAAAUAAUGAGUCAAUCAUAAUAUGCUGAGUUGAUAGUAGACUCUCUUUAUAGAAAAUAAAUGUUAGCAUGGAAAGAUCUGUAAAAGAAAUACAAGUUAAAAGCAAAGGCAUACCUGGUCCAUAAACAGUAAUGAAUGCCAAAAAUGCAGAGGUUCAAGCUCAAUCCACUCAAAAAGUUCCCUGUGAAAAUAGCAUCAAAUCAUAAUAACAGAAAAAGGUAGAUAGAAUGCUUAUUCAUCUUAAUAAGUCUGCAAUGACAAACCUUGUUUGCAGUGUUCUCAGCAAACAAUCACAAUAUGCUCUAGCAGCUGAUAGUUCAAUCUUACCCGUGUCUAUAAUGAUCUUAGAGAAGUUUGCAAAGAUGAUGGUGGCUCCUAGUUUUUUAAACUCAACCAGCAGCAAUGCAAAUACCUUUUUCAUAAACUGUCAAUGCUCAUAUGAAGACAAGCAAAAUACUUGAGAGCUUGUUUCAUAAUAUCUGCUGCAGAAUAUUGCAUCAAGUAGACUAAAUAACCAGAAUGUGCAACUUACCAUGUUCAGGACCCGAUGGAGGGCAGGGUCAUGAAGUUUUGACAUUGGGCUGAAUGACAAAUGUUAAAUGUUAGCUUGAGAAAUUGACAAAAUAAUGAACAUUGAGUGCAAAAGCUUUCAACUUCUCAACCUGCAAAGCCACCGGUAAAGAUGCUGCAAUAUUGCAUCAGCAAAGACAUUACCAGAAGCCACAGCAUCUGAUAUGCAUCUCUGAAUUAGUUGCUUUACUACUUGAAAUGCAGGCGCACACGAGCUAGCUUCAUCAUAAUCAGUUUCGUUAUCAUGAGCAGGGGGAUGUGAGUCAGAUUCAUGACAAAAUAGGGAUCCCCCAUCCAUUUCUUCCACUAGACUGCUCUUGAGAAGAGCAUUAACAGCUAGGUGGUGAAUCUGCAGAAGAGCAAGCAUUAGCAUCAACUUUAUGUAAAGUUUGAUGAUGUUAGUCUAACCUUCAGUUCAACUGCCACUUUUCUAUAUGCUCCAGGAUAACUGGCAGCUGGUUGGUUGACCUGUUUUCAGUCAUAAUACACCAUUGAGUACAACAACAAACACUGAAUAAUACUGAGAAUGUUGAUCUUUGAUAGGCAAAUAUUACUUCCAAUAAUCAUAUAUACUUUAAGAAAAUAUUUGAGGAUUAUGUUCUUCAAGAACUAUAAACAUGAGAAAAAGAAUAAUGUAGUGAUUCGAUAAGCUGUCAGUAAAGCAAAAUUAUCUUCAGUGUACCGAAGUCCUUACUUCAUCAGCAAAGCAUGUAUCUCCCUCAUAAAUGCCCCCAAAAUCUGGAAUUCCAUCAUCAGAUAUCCAUAGUACCUAAAAGACACUCCAGGAACAUCUUAAGCCGUAUUGAUAAUAAGCAAUGAAGAACUUAAUUUUGUAAAUGUGGAAAUGUAUAUAGUACAUUGACUAACUCAAUUCAUGUAAAUAGAAAUUGACAAACCUAGAGAAACUAAGAGCAGCUAGUAUUUAUACAAAAAGAAUGACUACAAGAACUUAUUUGUAUGACAAGUCAACCAAUAUGAAAAAAAAUGCAGAAAUCCUCCUCAUUUAUAAUGUUCUCACUAAAGCAUUGAUUGACAAAGAGGAUAUACACCAGCAAAAAUAUGGUCAAAUUUUUAAAAUGUAAAUACAUUUAUUUUUUCAAAGACUGCUUAAAAGUUGAUACUUUCCAUAAAAUCUAUUCCAACCACAUUGAAAAAAACAAUCAAGAAAUUCAUUCAGGCAAAGCCUUUAAUUUUUUAAUUAAUGCCAACACAAGCCAUUUUGUAGGCAUUUUGAUUGUGAUAACUAGUUUCACACACUUUAGUCACUGUCUCAAAAUGAACUAUAGCAAAAGUUGCUUUUGAAUCAGAUGGUCAUGGGACAGAUUCAGGCCUGCACUAUUCUACAUUAUGGAUUCAAGUCAUCUAACCUCACACAAUAAAAUUAAGCAAGUCAUUUAUGUCGGACAACAAGCAAGAGCUUUCAUGAUGAACUAUUUGGAUCAUAAAGAACCGAAAAUCGAUAAAAUUACAAAAUCAAGAUAACAAAGCAAAAGAAUCCCAAGUACACAUUUGUGUCAAGUGAAAAGGCCAACCUGUUGCUUAUCACGCAAUGCCCUAGAGAAGAAGACAUCAGCAGUAAAUAGAAGCCAAUCAAGUUCAAAAUUCCCUAAUGGCACCUGUUUGAUCACAGAACAUGGACAUAAAAUUUCAUAAGUCAACACUAGCUCAAACAUAAAGGCAUAGAAGUGAGAACAUGAUUAUUACAUGUGCAUAUCUUGAUAGCAAAAUCCUUUCAUUAAACCACUGGGAUGAUGCAGCACAUCUUUGCAUGCUAAUUUUACCAGCUGUAACUUGCCAUCCAAGAGCCUGUAUAUGAAUUGAAGUAAGUCAAAGCUUUUUGGAUGUGCAUAAUUACAGAGAAAGCAAGAACGAUUUGGCUGUCAUGGCAUCUUCAAGAAUACCUGAUAAUUGCUAUCACAAGCAUUAAAAGACAUAGUGACACAAGGGAAGUCUUCCAGAAUUCUUAUCCUUGACUUGAGAACUUGAAACCCUGGACAUUCUAUGAUACCAAUAGCAGGUUGAAGAUGUUGAUGCCUAUCACAAAAUUUAUAAUUAGAUUCGUGUAAACUGUAGUAGAAGUGAAAUAUAAAUAUAAUAUGAAAAUUCUUUAUUAGGUUUUUUUCUUCCACAAGAAUUCUAUCCUAAAGAAUUUUGUGGAAGUGAAAAAAUUGUACCAUUCUAGAAAGCUUUUGUGAAAUUCCUAAAUUCCUAACACAUCAUAUAAGAAACUACCACUGGAAAAGUUGGAUAAAAAGAGAAUUUUACAUAGGAUCCAUCUCUAUAUGUUCAAAUAACAUUUCAAUAAUAUGUUACCAGGUGACCAUCCAGUCUACCCUGUACCAGAUCGGAACUGCCCGAAAAAGGACAGUCCUCUUCUCAGUCCAUGCCUGGACAGGUCCAGGCAAAAUAGGGUUCCUUGCAUGUUAUACCAAAAGCCACAUAAAUUGACUUGAGAAAUAUAAUAUAGCACCCAAAUAAUGAAAAAGGGAAGAACCCUCCAACAAAUGAGGUACUUUUUCCCAGAAAAUUAAAGAUUGAUGUGGACUAAAUUGUCAAAAUCUGAAUUCUAAAAUCCAAAGAAGAGUUUUAGAAAAACCUGUGUGCAACUAAUGUUCUCUGCAAAAUUUUGCUUCCAACAUCAAUUGAUCGGACAUACUCGACCUGAAAAGAGUGAUUGAGAUGUGAUAAAGAAAACUGGAAGAUAGGAAGAUAGAAUGACCAAUCUAUAAAUAAAAGUAUGACAACAACCAUACCUUAAAGGUAGCACUACCAUUCGUUGGAGGUUCAAUAGAUAAUGCAAGGCAAGCUUCACGAAAUUGUUUCUCCAGAAUUGCUGAUGAUAGUUCUUUGUUCUGAAAAGGGUUUACAACAACAACAGAUAUUGUCCAAGAUGUGGGGAAGUAUAUAACGUAUAUUGCCCUUCCCUCCGAGAAGCUGGCACCAAAACAAGAAAGAUUGGUGGGAACAUAUUGUAGUUAACUUGAAUACGGCAAAAAGGUAAAAAAGUGUGUCCAGGCACAAAAAACAUAAGUUGACACUAGAAGCAUGCUUCUUCCUAAAGGAUUGAAUUUAUUAUUACUUGUCUUAACCAAAUAAACAUAAGUUGACACCACAUCCAAAUCUUCUUAGCCUUAGUUUGCAUUAAAUAAAUUCUUAGUAAGAUAAAGUUACAAUAUUGAACUUAAGGAAUAUGCUCUAAACAUGAUGUCUUUUAUGCUCUAAUAAGUACAAUUCAUCUAUCAGCUUAUUCACUGAGAUAUCAUAAAAAUCAGUAUAUACAAUUAAAUCAGUAAUACAUACAAAGCUCUCCUGAACCUCAAUUAUCCAUACCUUAGCAAGGAUUAAAAAUACUGGCAUACCUGUGGUACAGAUAAAAGUAGGUAACUCCUUGUUCUAGAUAAGAGCAUUCUGCCGUAGUCUUCAUAUGCAACUCAUCCAGGUUCCAGCCAUCUUGAGCAUUUCGCAAUUUAGCAGCUUUGUCUACUUGGCAAACACAACCAAUCUGGACAAUAGCAUGAAAUUCUAAUGGCACCUUUGUCUCAUAUAUCCCCUACAAAGAGUUAAAAGACAAGCAGAUUCAGAUUAUUCACCAAAAAUAAAAAAAAGUUAAUGUGAAAUGUGCUUGAGUGACAGUCUUUUAAAGGAAAUAAUAAGAUUGUAAAAACCAUGUCACAAUAAUAUCAAAACAGUGAAGCAAGUCUAAAUCCAACAAAAGAAAUUAAAUUGGAAGACAAAAGAAACAAUGAGGCUUAACUGAUUUUACUUUUGGAACUUUGAUCAUAUAUGGGACAUAUAAGUGAACAAGUCGCACCAUUCACUGAUUCACAAAUAACAGAAGAUAAGAAAGUAAAUUACUUGCUCAUCAUAAAGAAUUGUCUUUCCAGGUGACCAGAAUGAUAUGAAGUCAAAAAUCUUCUUUUGGGAGCCACGUUCAUCAAGCUCAUAUCCAUUAUGGUCCGUUAUAUAUCAGCUUAGAAUAUUUGAUAUAUCUAGGCCUAUACAUAGUGAACUUAAUGUAUUUACACAAAUACAAACAAAAAGUCAUCAGAUUUAAAUAGACCAACAACAAUGAGAUUGAGCUAUCAAGUCACCUAGAGCUUUGAGAUCAGCAAAACAAAGUUUCUAAUUAAGAUCUCUUAGGCUUAUCUCCCUGACAUUGUAAACUAAUUUAAUCUUCUAUUCAGUUUGUAAAAUGUUUUUGAGUUCUCCAAUUUUAGUGCACAUAAUACAUAUCAAACUAUGAAUGUAAAAUAGAUUAUAUUUAUUUACUUAAUAUUUAGUAUGGUUGGAUAACCUUAACUACAACCUCAUGCCCUAACAUGUAUAAUGCAUAUUUUUUUUACAUUAGUUUGAACACCGAGACAAAGAUCUAACAUAUAAUAGAUUGAAGUAUUAUUUAUUCACUAUCAAAUGAAGGAAGCAUAACCAAAAGUAACACUAAAAAGAAAUAUGAUGGAUAAAAGAAAAAGAUGUUGAUGUUGUACGAUGAAAAAAGUAAUAGUAAAGUCAUUUGCUAAGAUUUUAGGAAAACAACUAUCUUCAGUCAUGCACAAGAAGAAUAUUUUUCACCUCAACUUCUGGAUCUGCUAGGUGAGCUGCAAGUUUCUUGCUUUCGGCCCUGAAUUGUUCUUCACUAAUAACAACCUUAAAAAGAACAUGUUUAAUUUAAUCAGACCGAUAAGAAAAAGAAAUAUAAACUCUAAAAUAACUUUUUGGUUUAAAGACUAAAGCAAACUAUGAUAUUUUCAGUUUUCCACUAUUAACUAUUAGUUGUAAUUGAUUAUAAAAAACAAGGAGAGAGAGGAUUUGUGAAACAAAUCCAAGGAUACCUCAAUGAGAUUGAAGUUAGGUCUGCUAUGAGGAAGAAUCUUUUUAACACGCCUUCCAGGAAACUCUUCUGUAAUUGGAGCUUUAGAAUUGAGAUAAAACACUCUUGGAACAUUUAUUGGGACCUUAUGCAUGGUGCCAUCAGCAAUAACCCAGGCAUAAAAGUGCCCAGGUUGUGUUCUUGGGACAAGCUGUAAUAUCUGUUUCAGGAAAUUUGACUCAAUGACAUUCACCAUGCACAAAUUUAGAAAAGUUCAAUCAAUGUUGACUGGCUCUAUGUCACUACCUGCCAGUGAGACCGAACAAGACUUGAUUCAUGUUUCUUGAAGAAUCCACUGACACCAAAUCUCUGGCUAUGCUUGUACUUGAAACUUGAGUCAGGAAACUUAGUUGUGCCAACAGGUUCAUCUGAUAUAUUUGUGCUACCCAAUCUGGCAACCAAGAAAAUGCCAGGUCAAACUGAGUAAUGUACCUUCAAUAACAUUUACAUAACCCAAAAUACUGUGGUACUCGUACUUGAGGAAAUUCUCAAUUAGGCCAGUCCAUUAAUUCUUAAGAACAUAAUACAAAAUAUUCUUCAUCAUAAUUCAUUAUUACGGAUUGAAUCAUAAUACUUUUGUAUCAAUAGUGUUAAUAGCUUGGAAAAUACCUUUUGGAAAGAUUUUUUCCCUGAUUCAGACUUCCAAGGAAGAAUAAGAAUAUAUCUUUGAUAGGAUCAGGAAAAAGUACUGCUUUAACAUAUGUAGGAAGGACCACAGAAAAGUCUGCUAGAGUAUAACUAUCUACUUUAAUAUAUGAGGAAAAAAGACCAGGAGGCGAGCACUGAGAAACAACUAUUAGCAAUGUGUGUCAUUUAACAUAUAAAUAAUGUAUACAUGAUUAAUCAUUUGACAAAUUAAAUUUCUAAAAAUAUAAAAAAAAUAAUCUAACUAGAUUCAGUUACUGGAAAGAUCAUAAACCUUAACCAGAAUAAUGGUGCAGGAAAAUCAAGAACCAAGAUGCAAUGCACCUAGAAAGAUUCAACUGGAAGUUUCACAAUUCCAGACAGCUAGCAACACGAAGAUUCAACAGAAAGUGUGCAGAAGGUUCACAUAUAACACAUCAGAUUUUGAAUGCUGAUAAGUGAUAACCAAAGAACAAAAAUAAUAUAUUACCUGCGUCUCUUCCUCUCUUCACGAGAGUCCUUCCAUUUUCUCUUCUUCGUUUCGAGCCAAGCUUGAUAAUCAAUGGUCUUAUCCCCAUUUUCACUGGAAAUACCAUUAUUACUCGAUGAAACUAGCGAUUGAUUUGACCGAAAUAGGGUGAGAUCUUGCUCCUGGAGGUCAACAGGCAUCCCAGAUACUGGAGAAGAUGGUUUUCUUGAAUUGAUUUCUCUAUUGAAUUCAAAGCUAUGAACUACAGGUCGAGGUGGAAGUACUCUAGCACCAUCUUUGACCAAAAUUUCUUCAAUAUCCCCAACAAUUGUCUCAUCUUGAGCCACCUGCUCUCUUUUUGCUGUAUUAAAGAUGUCAACAAGUUUACGCUGGCGAAAACGAUCCUCUUUCUCGCAAACCUUCUUGUGCAACCAAUCCGGAUGGACCACUCUUGGUACAGGGUUAGAAACCUGAGAUAAAUUGGGUUUUGGUCUGAGUAAAUCAAGAAAAUGUUCAACAAGAAUGAUGGUUCAAACCUUUUGCAUUGCAGCAGGGAUGGUGAUAAUUUUUUGAAUAGCUGAACUAAGUCGUAGCGUGUAAUAAGACCAAUCAACAAUAGACCGAAUGCCCACAUCAGAAGUUAUUUUACACCACUUGCGUAAAUAGUACUUUGCAAUCUCUGCAUAUAGAAGAAUACAUGUGUUAGAUAUGUGUUCAAACUUCAAACUAGACCCAUCAAUCUACUUAGCACAGAUGUAGGAAAAAGCAAGGUUCACUAUACCAUGGCCCGAUAUGAGCAGUACAUACCGAUCCAAUAGGGGACUGUAUAGGCAGUACAUACCGGUCUGUCAGUACACCCCACUAUACCAUAUGUCAGUAUGUACUAUACCGACAACCAAUCAGUACACUGGUAUGGACUGGUAAGGCGAACCAUGGGAAAAAGAGAACAAUACCUGCAUCUGUUUCAAAUAUUGCAACAGGGACUGCACGCUCACUUACUGGAGUUCCCUGCAUGAUUAGUUGAUAAAAGGUCAUAUAACAGUCUUGACAAAGCAUGCAAUUUUUUUCAUUUGUAGUAAAGUCGAUACAACAAUUAGUUAAAAUAUAGAAAAAGCAUAUGAAAGUCACUUAGAAAUAUUAUAGUAAUAGAAAUAUCAACUACCUGACUUACCAAUUAGUGAAAAUUGAAAAAGAAAACAGAAAAAAGAAAAAUAGCAAUUAGUUCCUCAUCUCAGAAAUAAAAUUUACAACUAAAAGAGAUAAGUUAAUGCAAUUGAUAUGAAAAAUGAUAGCAUUUUGUAAGAAUUUGUUCGACAGUUAUCAUGCUAUAAAUUUCUGUUGAAAAAUUUACUUACAAUUCGAUAUAGACCAAAAAAAGUGACUAACCUGUGGUUCUCGGGCGACUAUAUAUUGGCAAUGGAGUCCUUUGUCUUUAACCAUUGCAUCUCCCAGAAAAUGAGCAAGCCUUUUUGCAGUAGUUACAGCACAUGAUUUCUGUUCCCCAUAAUCAACCAAUGAUUUACUCAUUGUGCUCGACUCUGAAAUAUAAUCAAGAAGCUCACUGUCGGCAAUAUCAAUGCCUUGGUUCUGACAAAAACAAAAACUGUUAACUACAUAGACACUAAACGUCAACCAGUUGUUCAAAAACCUAAGGGUAACAGCAGCAUUGUAGCUUACAUCUAAAAGAUCUAGCCAGCGGUUUGCCACAGAUGCAACAGCUGCAUAGCAUUCUUCCAAGGUUGAUCCAUGAAGAAAUUUGUCAAAAACCUCAGCCUGGUAGAAGGACAUUUGUGGGAAUUCAUGAAGAAUUUGAACAUCUGCUUGCUCAAAUGAGGCUUUAUUUUUACAAUAAGGUUUGUUGAAAAAGAACUAUAAGCUUACAGCAUGAAGGCAGAAGCAGUUUUGAUAUUAUGUUUACAAAUGUAUGUGACUAACAAAAGAUUUGGAAGAAGGCAUCAUGCAGAGUGUAGCUAAUUAGAUAGCAUAUCUACAAGAUAACCUUCAUUAUAAGUUAUGAUUCUGAAAGGUUUCGAUUUGGGCCACUUGACUGCACAAAGUUAUUUGCCAAAAAACAAAUUGUCUAACAGUGCAAGCAUUAGAUAUCAUCCAUGAUACCAUAAACUAGUCCCACGCCAAGCAUGGGUUAUAACUCAAUAUGCUCUACAAGUCACCACUGACCUCCAGAAAACACCAUUUAGUUACUUGCUAUACAAGGAAGAAAUGUUCUUCUGGCUCCAUCAUUGACAAAUCAAGCCAAUUUUGGACUGCUGCUCAUAAUGUCAUCCGGAUUUCAAUUGAAAUAAAUGCAAAUAUUUCUGAUGGUCCACUAAUAUUCAAGAUUUGAUGCCCCACUCUAGUAAAGACUUGAUAUGACUAGGGUUAGACAUUAAGUUUAUAUCAUUUUACUAAGCUCAGAGAGAAGUUAGGUAUAAUCCAAUAAUUAAUUGUGGUCAAAGAUACAUAUCGUAUAUAAGGUAUUAUCACAAAUCAAAAAUUUUCUUCUCUUCAUAAAAGAAAAAGAAAGUGGAUUGUGGCUACAGUAGAGAUUGUUGGAACAUUCACCAGCAUCAAAUAUAUGCAUCUAACGGAACUAAUUCUAGUUAAAAUGUCUAUUCCUUUUCAUCAAUUUCCUAGAACAUAAAUCUGACACCAUCAAUUCAUAUUGAUUAGCCAUGAUUUUCCAGAAGACUUUAAAAUCCUUCUGUGUAACUACCCUCUUAGUGAAAAAAGAGGGCUAUUAUAAUAUAUCAUUCUUGAUAGUAAUCAAAUGAUCAUCUAUUUUUAUUAAGUGAGAACUGACCAUAAUGAGAUCACAAGAUUUAGCAAAAACCAAAACCAUAAUUCUCACUUAUGAUUCUGCAACAACUGUUUUAUCUACACUGAUCCAAAAUAUAGCAAAAAUUGUUAGUCUGCUACAGAUAUUAAACCACGGAUGAGCACCAAUAUGAUGGUUCACUUUUGGAUGUGUUCCAACUAUUCUAGUAAAUUUCUACCUGAAGUUAAAAGUACUUUUCAAGCAAGUGACUAUAUCAAUGAUAAAAAUGGCAAUCAUAAUACUUGAACAUCAUCAUGAUCAUCCAACUCCUUUCAACCAAUAUAGAAUCAGUCAUGGAGCACCUCCCAGAAGGCUUCAUAAAAAUUGUGCAUAAACUUAUGUCUGGCAAUUAACUGGAUAUUGACUUUCAAGAGCCGAAGCAACGUCCUAGUUUAGAUGAACACUGGCAUUAAAUAUAGAGGAUUAAGUGAAAAUGGUCUAGAUCGAUAAGCUUUGGAAACAUGGUCAUACCCAACACCAAGGCACAACCAAAAAAUUAACCAACAAAACCAUAUAAGGCUACCAAACAAUUAAAAUAGCAAAAGCAUUCUUAUACUCUGUUCCAUGUGAAUAUAAUGAUUACUUACAUUUCUUUUUUUAAUCAUAAAGUGCCUAUCAUAACUCAUAGUCAUUCAAUAAAAUGGACAUCAAAAUUCUACCAGAGAGAAAGAUACCUGGAAUACUUUUAUGAGCUUCAGCUCACCUCUGCGUUUGAUCUCAAAACCUUUGAGUUCUGCUAGGGUGCCAUCAUAAUUGAAUACUGCAUAUCUCUUCUUGAUUAAAAUUCCUUCUGCUUUUGAAGCUGGAAGGAUCAUUGCCUGCUUCAGAGAAACCAUCACAAAGACGUACAUGGAGAAACAGUUAUACCUUAGAAACAGAAAAAAUUGCAAUUUGCUUGCCUUGUAUGGCCCGUCCACUUCAAAUUCAAUGGAACACUCACUGUGGGUUGUAUAAGUUCUGGUGACAGGAUCUUUAAGUGUCUGAGAUAGUGACAUAAGGAAAGGAAACAGAAGUUAGCAAGACAAGUAACACCAAAAUAUUAGACAAUCUUCCUAAAGAUAGCAAAAUCAUAUAAUAUUUGAAGUAGGAAAUGAUAUAAAGAAAAGCAUAACCUUAGCUAAAUCUCAAUGCAAAUUGUGGUUUGUUUAUCCUCACCUGGUACUGAUCAUUAGUGUUGUUUCUGGCAACAUCAACGUUAAGCAUAACACACGGAUAAGAAAUUGUGAAUUUCUUUCCAUCACUGAAAGAAAUGCAAAAUUGCAGUCAGGACUUCAAAAAGUAAAUGAAAUAAAAAUCUGAAUAUCUUAAACAGGAAAUAUCACAAACAUAUUUUAACCAUUCAACCUCACUAGUAGGAACUAGGAAGCACACAUUCAUAUACUAAUCCAACAUGAACAUACUAUUACAUAUUCGAGACCCAUACUAAUAUAUAGCAUAGAGCACGGAUUGAAAUUUCGUACUAUACCGAAAUUUCGAGACUUAUUCGGUAAGGUACGAUACUAUAUACCGAGCGGUAUAUUUCGGUAUACCGCUUGGUGUAUAUAUAUAUAUAUAUAUAUAUAUAUAUAUAGGGAAACCUCUCGGUUUACCUCUAUGUGGGGUGAUGUCGUCGAGGCGACGUCGUAGAUUAAAAAAAAAUUGCGAUGUCACCUCCCUUCUCGGGCGACGUCGCCUAAAAAAGAUUUGCAAGAAACGUCACCCGAGAAGAGAAGAAAAAAAAAGAAAUCUUCGCCUCUCUCCGCCCCGCGACGCCGAUGCAACUUCUCUAGCACGUGGAUGAGAAGUCACCGACAGACGAGGAGGAGAGCAGCGAUCUCUAGGUUCUCCCUUUUUUUCCUAUUUCUUUCUUCCCCUUCUCCCUCUUCUUUCUUCACCCUCAGUUACCGUCAAUGAUAACGCCUCAAUCGACGACGAUAACGCCUUAAUCAACGGUACUGCUCGGUAGCGGACGGUCUGUGUACCAGUCUGUUGACGGACCGGUACGUAUUGCUCGGUACGAGCGGUAUCAUUCGGUAUUGUAGACCUUGGCACAGAGUACCAAUUCUGACUACAUAUACGGACAGUUGUGUGAGUAUGUGGGCAAGACUAAAAAGGCCAAACAUAAAGCAACAACUCCAUGUGUGCAAGUCAAGGUACAAUAGACACAUAAAGUACGUGGGUAAAAGUGAAGACAACACAUAUAGUACAAAGCAUGGUUUGCAGUACCAGUCCGUACCGCCCGGUACGGGCGGUACGUACCGGUCCGACAGGCUUCCGGUACACGGACCGCCUGUUACCGUACUGAAUAGUACCAGGUUGAACCAGCACACAGUUUGAUCGAGUUUUCUUUUAUUUCUAAAUUUGAUAGCUGCUGCUAUCUUUUUAAUUAAAACCUAAAAAGUUUGAUCCCAGUGGCUGUUCAUGUAUGAGAAUUUAGAACCACCCCCUUCUCCCUCUCUCUCAUCCCUGCUCCCCGCCACUACUACCUGCUGCUCACAGUAAAACUGCUGCCACCUGCCUGUUACUCUCCUCUUUCUCCUCCCCACUUCUUGAUGCCAAUUAUAAUGUGGCAUUCCGUGUACUCGUAUGCCCAUACAUGCUGGAUCCAUACCAGUUCAGUCAGGGUCCAACCAAUAUCAAAAUUUUAAAACUUGUUACAAAUAAAAAGAUAUAUAGUUUGUUUUAGAUUUUCAUAGAUGAACUUAACUGCAGCUAUAUUGAGAAUUUACAGAAUGAUAUGCUUCCAUUUUAGAAAAAGAAUUGAUUGAUUUUUACUAUGAAAACUUGCUCAAGUUGUAAGGUAGAAGAAAUGUGAAAAGGUUCAAUUCUAUGUUAGUAAUAAUAAACAACAGCAAUAGUGAGGCAAAUAAAAGCAUAUGCUGCCUCAUAUUUCCUGUUUAUGCAGCGACAUAUGCAACCACCAGUUUUGCAUAUUCGACAAUAUUGUAUAUCAGGACAGUAUCACUUUAAGCAAGGAAGCCAGAAAAGCUUAGUUAAAACUUUAAGAAAUUAAAAGAACUAAACAGUUUUAACAGUGAACAUAAUUCUUUCAGCCAAUUUCACCAUCUUUGUUCAGAUGUGUUCGGUAUCAUGAAGCAAUAGUAAGCCAAAGUAAUAUCCUAGUUUAGUGUACUUAACUUUUAGAGCAUCUCUGCCAUGUAUUUUGCCUAUAUCUAGACAGAUCGAUGGAUGAUAAAAUGAUUUGUUCAAGAAAAGUAGUUACUUGUUAACCAGAUCUAGACCAAAGCUCCUUAUCUCACUAAAUUUGUGCAUCACCAGCUUCCAUAUUCAACAUAUGCAGCAAAUGAGCAUAGGUAUCAAAAUCCAGAUAAGUAUACUCCAACUUUGAGCAAACAUAUAUUGACUCUCAGAAUGACAACUAAAAGAAAACUAUCUUGUAAAUAAAACCAAGGAAUUCCUAGUAGAGCCUUGUCUUGGAAGCCCAAGUAUAGUUGCACCUGGAGUAGAAAAUUAAUAGUAAUGCCAAAGAAUCAUAGUAAAGCCUGGGCCACUUAACCUAGAGGUAAAAACCUUAUCCAACAAGUGAAAAAAUAACUAAGUAUGCAAAUCAUGAAAAAACAUGUUUUGAUAAGAACACAAAAAAAAAAAAGCAGUGUAUGACACUUGAGGAGAAACGAGAACAAAAGGAACUUACCUUGUUUUAAAUGUAAAGUUCUCUGGAAAAGAUCCUGGAAGCGCACACCAAAUGCCAUCUGUAUCCAAUUCCAGUGGCCUCCCAAUCUUUUCAACAAGUAAACGAGCAUUUUGUAUAAUUUUUGCACCAGUAUAAGUGACAACUCCUGCCAUUUCCAUUGAGUACCAUCUUGCACCCCUUUAUAAUUCACAUGAAGAUUGUCAAUAGUAUCCACUUGCUAUCAUCAGGCCAAACUAGCAAAGUAGAUCCAAUCACAUUAAAUGUAUAUGAUCAAACAUAUUACUGAACUCACUUGCGCAUGACAUAUCCAUAAAAGGAAUUGAGUAUACAUUUGUGAGCGAGUUGUAAGGAAUCAUAGAGGAUAACCAUAUCCUGAAAUGUCAAAUGAAAUAAGCAGAUUAAUAUAGUCCCACGUUUAUUCUUUAAAAAAUAAUUUGACUAUAACCUGUGCUUCUUGAAUGUUCAUUUGAUUUCUGCUAGCUUUUGCAUCUGCCAAUUUUCCCUUCCAUACCUUAUUAAGUCCCUUGUAUUCAUACCGUCUGUCCCGGAAACUGAAAUUUGAAUAGAUUUUAAAAGAUUUUAUGAGUGAAUGCAUGCACUGAAACAAGAAGGAUUUAUGUACUUUCAAAGAGAAAAAAACUAAAAAAUUUGACAAAGACUACCAACCCAACAUAAGAAAAAAAAAACGGGAAUGAUAAGACUGCUGCAGACUUAACCAAGUACCAAACAAGCAUACUCAAGGAACCAAAAGCUAACACUAACAGACCUUCGUACUGUGUCAACAUAAAAGGGAUUUUCACGCAUGCAUAUCCCUGCUUCUCUAAGCUCUGUCACAGGCUUGUCCAGAACCCUUUUAUAUGCCUGUUUUGUGUCACCACCAAGUUAUAUAUGAGUUUUCUUAAGAGAAACAAAAUCUCUAGCUAGGGAGUUGUCUGUACCUUCUGACAGUACUUCUUCAAGCGUUCUUUCAGCCUCAAUUGUUGCUCUGAUUUGGGGAGAUCAAGAAAUGGCUUUGUUUUACCAUCACCAAAUUCAACAAGUUCUGACUGAAUUUGUUUCCUUAUGUAAUAGUAAUCACUAUACACAGAAAUAGCAUGUUUUCAUAUAAUAGUACUGAAGAUGCUUUUUCUAAAGAUAAAAAAUAAAAAUACUAAAAUUGAACCUCUUCUUGGCCAUGUAGGUCUCUCCUCGCCAAACCCAUUCUAGUUUACGUAGGCAAUUUUUUCCUGGACGAUUAAAGUCACAUGCAGUGCAGACUACAUCUGUAACUAUUGAUGGAGGCUGCAAUUAUUAAUAAAAUUCAGAUAUUUCAUCAGCAUUACAUAGACUCAUUGAUGUUCUAAAUUUUUCUUCAUAAAAAAAAUCAUUAGUUGGAAUAUAUAUUUGAAAUAAAGUGGCAGAUGACUAGCAUAGAGCAAAAAUAAUUUAAAAUAAUCAAGUCAGUAAAUACGUUAUAAAGGUGCUUCCAUGUACAUGAGGUGACAGUGUAUUAGUUUAAUAAAUUCCAAUUCAGAUCCAAUAAUUUAUUUAAUUAAUAUACUUUAAUUCAGAUAUAAUGACAAGCAAGCAAGCUAAGGAUAACAAGUAUAUUCGGGAAUCUACAUGAUGUACAGGAUAACUAGUGCAGUCAGCAGUACACAAUCAAAUCUAUUUUUAAGAAAGAUAAUGUUUUCCUGGGUAUUCCCAGGUCAAAGAAAAAUAUCUAAACACAUUUCCUCAUACUGGUUUGAUUAGUAGCCAAGAUAACUGGAAUGGACUUCAAGCUAUGAAGUCAAAAUGCAACUAACUGAAAGCAAAUAAGAUUAACCACAUUUUUUUCUAAAUAAACUAUUUUUUCAAUCAAGUUUCUUUGUGUCAAAAUAAGAAAAUAUUGCUUCAAAAGCUCUAUUAAAGAAAAAAAUAUAAUGACAAUGUAAUCAUAGCAGGGUAAAUCCUGUUGAGCACUGUAUAAUAGUACCUGAAGUCUGUUUGUUAAAAUGAUGUUUGGAUACAUUGCAGCAACAUCAAGAUGAUAAAUAAGCGGGCAUUCCUCACAUGUCGGAUGAUCCCGCAAGAAGAUAAGCUGCAAAUUGAAAGUACCAAAAAGAAGAUAGUGAGCUCCACAAUGUAUUCAUUCAUGUUAGCAAAUUACUAGUGCGAGCAAGUGCAGGCCAUAUAAGUAAAUUCACCUAAGGCUGAUAAGAAUUGGUAAAAACAUCAUUUCAUAUAUAUUUCAUAUGAUAGAUUUUUUGUGUAAUAAAGGAUAAUAAGCUUCACCGCAUAACAGCACAAUACAAUGGCCAAGGAGCAGCUAUUAUGAUCAGACAAGUAAAGCUUCCAAACAAGAAUGCAUAAGGAAAAGAAACCACUUAAUUUCUUGUUACACAUAAGCUUAUAAUAUGGAUGCCAAUGACAAUUAACAAUAUAAUGCCUCACCCCAAAUCCCUUUAUGCUUUGUAUUCGUUGAUUGAAAAUAAAUGCAUGAAAAGCUCAAAAACACAACAUUUUAUUUGAUCAAAAUACAACAGAAAAAGCGACAUUAAUGUGACAUUGGAAACUUUAGCAUUGAAUAACAAGAACACAGUAAAGAAAGGGACCUUUUCCAUUAUAGCAUUCUUCACAUCUUCGUAAUUUGCAAUUGAUUCAAUGCUCAUUUUUCCUUCCACUGUAAUUGCAAAUUGAAGGUCACGAUCCAGAUUUCCAAUUAAUUGCUGAAAAAAAUUCUGGUGAGUACAAAAUCGCAUAGAGUCGCACAAAUGAAUAAGCAAAACUUCAUGGAGAAAGAUUUCAAUCCAUGAAAAAGUUCAUGAUGGAAGUGGAAAAAUAACUGAGGGCAAACUCAUUACUCUUUGAACUAAAUAAGCAAAGGCACGACUAAGAUGGUUGAAAAUGGAAAGAUCUAGAGAAAGUAUGCACUCAGAUAUAUAUCUGCAAUGCAACAAGAACAAAAAAAUAAAUAGUAAACAGUCAACCCACAAGGGACUCCCUCCUGUAGUGUCCACAUCCACAAGCUGUGACAGAUCUAUAUCAACAUGUCUGCUAGUCAGAGACUUAUUAGACUCUUGAAUUAUGCUAUCCUGAUGUGGAUCCUAAGGUUUCUUUUCUUCGGAGCCAAACUAAAAAAUUUCACACUAUAACUACAUUACAGUGUAAUACCAUUUUGUUUUCCUACAAGUAUUCUAGGUUCAAUUGGAUAAGAAGAGUGAGUCAAUCUCCUAAUCUGAUCACACUUCUCUUCAAAUCAAGGUUUUGUUACGAUCUAAUAUUUAGUUAAUUUCAUUUAAUUAGCUUGAUGACAAUGUAUAUUUUCGCAAGAUUUAGUAUUUAACAACUAAAAAGAGUUUAUUAGUCCAUGUAUACAUAAAGAAUUAAGAGUUCUUUGAUGGAUCCAUAUAGAAGAAUUUCUACCUUUGAUGAUUAGCCACUAAGCAAUUUUGUUUCAUAUCCUAUUGAUUUGUAUCUUAGAUUUAAUUUAUUAUCAUUUAACUUGAUUAUAUAAACCGAGAAAAGAGGAGAAAGAGACCUGAAAUCUGAUUUUUUUUUUCUACUUUCUGGCUGAUAAAAAUUAGUUUUUACAAAACCUGAUAACAAUUGCUAUUUGAUUAGUUAUUCCAACUAUUUAAUCUUAUUGUUUUUCUCAUUUUUCCAGUGCAUUAAACGUCCACUUCUUGUCUCAAAAAAUACACAGCUAGAAAAUUUAGUAUAUGGUUUAUAUCAGAUAGCUGAAUAUGUAUCCUUUGAUUAGAUAUGGAAAGUGGAAACAGAUAUGGGUUUUCCAAUGUCUAAUCGCUAUCCAAUCUUUUCACAAUAAAAAUUUUGAAUCAAUGUAAUGUGCAUAAAUAAAUUAUUUAGAUCCUGAUAGGAAAAGGGGAAGCUACCAUGUACAUGUGGUACUUAUUAAGACAACUUCAUAAAGUCAGGAGCCAUUUAAGAAGAAAACUUGGCUUCCUUUGGAGUGCAAAUAAACCAUGCCUUUCAUAUUAGUUUAGACAUACUAUAGAUCAAGGACUUCUAUACCACCCGAAACGGUAUAAAAUGGGCAGUACAUAUCAGUCUGGGCAAGGACCAGCAUGCGGGCUGUUCUGUUUUGGGCAGACCGGUCCAACUCACUAGAAAGAAAACCUCAAAAAGCUAAAUCAGCGAUUAAGGCUUGCAAACAUGACUGAAAUAGUUCUGGCACCCGAAAUGAUAGUCCUUGCGAUAGAGCUGACUUCAACAAAACCACGAAAUUCCACACAAAAAUUAUUGGAGAAAUCCCAGGACACAGUAGUCAUGUUCUUAUAGAGUAAAAAUGGAAAAAAAACUAGAGAACAAGAAUUAAGUACUUCCAAGACAUUAUCAUAAAAACUAGAGGUACCAGUUUAGCUCAGUAAAUGUGCAAAAUAAUUGACUGGCAUUUAUGCAUGUUAUACUUGGUCGUUGCAUGUUUUACAAGAUAUAAUAAAUUAUAUAUUUAUAAAAGCUAAUCAAAAAAUCUUAAAAGUUAAUUAUUCAAGUAUGAAGUCUAAUAAAGCCACCUAUCUAUCAGCAGCAAACACAAUUAAAGUUGUACCUCAUAUGCAGAUGGAUCAAGCUGGAACUUAAUAGGAAGAUCUGACCUAAAAACACCACUUUCAAGGCAUUCAACAUGCCCUCCAAUAUAUGUUUCACUUUCUAGAGGGCGGUUGUUGUAGAAUUUUUCAGGAUCAGAUUGGUGCUUGUUAGGACAAAUAACAUUAGCCUUGUAUGCCUGUGUACAGAAACAGAAUUACAAUGUCAGAUAAACAUCAAGGAACAGAAGAAAGCAAAUGAUCACGGAAGCAUAUGUUGAUUGCUAAACUUGAGUUCAUUACUGCUCAACAUCAUAACAUCAUAUUAAUUCAUGUAAGGUAGCACAUGCAAAGUUUGACUGAUGCUGAAGAUUAAUAAUCACACCAAGAGUUAGCUCCUUCCAGAGAUGCCUGUCCACAAAGUAGAAUAUCUACUGGAAAUGUUGUUGUUACUCUUGAAUAAUUUAAGAAGCAAAAAAUCAGUGCUUAAGUUGAACAGAGAAAAUUGCCAUCUUUUAUGUGUGUUAGCCAAUCUUUGUAAGUAUUAAACAGAAAUACAAAUAUCCCAACUGUUUGUACAAGUGUUUUAGCAUAGAACCACAUAAUCACAGAGGGAGAUGCACACAGACAAACACAUGACAAUGCAGACAACUCUUCUGCUGUUGUACUGAUAUAUGAAAACAGUUUUAGGAUGCAUACAUAAGUGUCCAUGUACGAUGCAUGUGGGAUUUACAUUAUACAAGUUCAAUCAUGUUAAAUAGAAUUCUUAUUUUGGUCAGAUAUUCAACAUAUUAGAUGACAUCAGAAACACAAAAUUCGUAAUCCUUCUGCAUUGUUCUAUAAUACUAGUACGGUAGUACCCCACCAUAUUGGUUAGCAAUUAUGGGGAUUGAACAUCCAGCUAAACUAAAUUAGCUCUGUGAAUAGGGGAUAAAGUGGAUCAAACAAUAUCCAUCUGAAUCCUUUUCUGUGCUCAAGUGGAGCUGGAUAUUACAUAGUAUGUUAUCACCUACCCUUAUUCAUAUAAAAAAAAAUUAUAUACAAAUAGUGAUGCGAGUCAAUUUAAUUCAUAUCUGAAUAUAUGAAAAUGUGAAUAUAUUCAAAAUUUUCAAAUUUAUCCAAAUCAGAAUAUUUAAGAAUGCAAUUAUUUCUUAAAAGUAUAAAUUUAUCUAAACUAUCUAAAUAUCUUAGUCUGUGAACAACUGAAUAUAUCUCAAAAGGUUAAGUUUAUCUUUACUUCUUCAAGGAUGAAAUGUUGAAAUAUCAUAAAUGUUUAGGUGUAUAUACCUAAACAUGCAUUAAUAAGCCUCUAAUUAUCCAUUAAACAUAGUACAAUAAGCUCAUAAACUUUGUAAGAAGCCAAUAAAGGUCAAUCUAAGCUAAUUCUUCUUAAAUACUCUAAUUAUGUCUUAAUUAAUCAUUAGUCACUAGUGUAUCAUCAUUGAAUAAAACUAUUUAAGCUAAUUACAUGACAUGAUAAAGAAAACAUAGAGAGAAGCUACAUGCCUUCAACUGGAGAUAUGUUCCACAUGAUAAAGAAUAAAAGAAAACAAAGUAGUCUUGUGGAGAAUUCUAGUAGGAUAUAUCUGGACCUCUUUUUGGAGACAUGUUCUCCAUGGAAUUUGGACCUCUUUUUUUCAUCCAGGAGGGUAUAUCUGGACCACUGGCAAGUGGUAUGUUGGAGUUGGAACUUGGAAGUCUGUUUAGACCUCACCAAAUCAUCAUUGACAUCUGUAAAGUCACACAUGAAACUUGAUCUCAAACAUCAAGCAUAUGCACGUUCUUACCAAAGACAAUGGUGGGACAUUUGGGCCUUGGUUGUAUGCCUAAACCAUUAAGUAUCUUGUAAUUUACUAUUAUCAGCAUUUAGUUACAUGUGAGGUUUCAUGUGGAACUAAUUGAUCUCAUCUGUGAUCAGAAGUACUGUUUGGAAUCUGGAUUAUGGACUUAUUUUGCCUGUGGAUGUUAAGUUGGCUAUUGUUGUUGUCAAAUGUUUAAAUUGGCUAUAAGCCUACAAUUAAGAUAUGCAAUACCGUACCAUACUGGUGUUUCGAGGUUGGCUCGGUACGGUAUGGUACCGGUAUACCGAGCGGUACACCAGGGCCUACCGAGCGGUACACCCUGGUGUACCGAAUAAUUUUAUAUUUUUUUAUUUAUUACUGUAGUACUGUAGCACUGCUAUAGUAUAAUAUUGUAGCACUGUAACGGUACCGGACGGUCCAUGUACCAGUAUGCCGUCGGACCGGUACAUACUACCCGUACCGGGCGGUACCAUUCGGUACUGCAUACCAUGCCUACAAUUAAUGUCUUCAAUGCUAGAAUGUUUUUCUUGAAUUAUGAUCAAAACCAAAAUCAAUGCUAGAAUGCUACAAUUCAUGUCUUAUUAUCACUUUAGUUUGGAAUAUGUAGCUUCCUGAAAGUUGCAGACCUUAUGGUGAAAAUUAUGUAUGAUGUUGUGGGUGUCUGUAAAACUUAUGACCUUCAGGAUAUGAGCAUGAGUUACUGAAGAUCACUUGUUAUAAUACAAGUUGAGUUCAGUGCUAAAAAGAACUAAAUGACCAUUAGAAAUUUAAUUAUGAUUCUUAUGGAUCCUUCAGGUUCUGUCUGAACCCAAGUCUAAGGACAUGUCAUGCAAAUUAUUAAGUUUCACUUUCUGACCUUGUUAGCCCAGGGAUGGCCACUAUAUCAUGGACUUACCUAACCAACCCUAAAUCAUGGACUAAAGUAUCAUGAAUAUGUAUGUACUAGUCAAAUACCAAAUGGAAACCCCCUACCCCGGUUAUAGUGGACUGAUAUUCCAAUGCAUGUUGAUAAGUGCUGUGCAUCAGUGGACACAUUGGCAAGUUCAGGGCAUUGUGCACCAGAUUCUAUGGACUGUAUAGUGCACUACCAGUUUAAUCCGUGUGCUUCAUAAAAGAAUGAAUUGAUUCUUCAAGAGCACACCAAAAGUUUUGUAGCAUGAAGCCAACCAAAAACAAUUGAAUAAAAGGAGCAUGCUAAAACUUGAGAAACCAAAACAUUAAUCAUUUCAAAACAACAUAUUUAUAGGAGUAUAAUAUCAAUGCAUUACAUAUGAUAACAGAUGUAAUGGAGUGACAGUAAGCUUGCACUGAGAAAAAACAAACCAUAAACGUACCUGCACCAUAAGAAGCAUUUCACAAAGUGUUCCACUUCCUUUUCGGAGGACCUCAUCUGGUGGCAUAGGAAUUAUAGUUGCAAGAGAGAAAAUGAACGGAUGAACAUAUGUCAUAUAUAGAAAAUAUGUUGCCACGGCAUCUGACACAGAAUAUGAUGCCAUCAUCUGAGAUAACAUCAAGGAAAAUUAAAUUCAAAUAAAAAACAUUAUGAACAAGAAUCAAAUUAGAGCAGAAUAUAUAAAAAAUCAACAGAAGCUUUGUUCCUCAUUUUUUGGUUCUCUGUUUUUUGUUCUCUAUUUCUUUUCUUUUUGUUUUUUUUUCUCUUUUCUUCCUUUUUUGUGUUAUUAAUGAAAUAAGCUUGCAGCAUUGCUGCUUUGCCUCAAAAAAAAGAAGGGUUAGGCAGUGCGACUGCAACAAAGAUAUCUUUUGGAUCAUUUUGAAGGAUCCUUAUUUGUACAAUAGCACAUAGUGAGCAAGUCAAAACUUUCAAUCUAAUGUACCUGUGGUUGUUCCAUGGCAAAACGAACCAUGUCUUCUGGAUUCACCUCCAGUGGAUCAUAACCCAAUUUAGCCUUUGUAACAGCCUGGUGAGUAACAGAAAUGUGUGAGUCUAAAAGAGUGUCAACAGAUUAUGGGAAGGUAUCUGCAGGAUCCUGGAGUGUAAAAGACUGCAGCUACCUUAGUUACUCAUAAACUAAAGCAUGGUAGUCAAAAGAAGUGACUAAUGAAUCCAGUGUAAUUACUGGAGAUGAAGCUAAGAUGAAUAUGUGUGGUUAGUGAUUUAAAAAGUAAUAGAAUUAUUUGUGUUCAUGAACAAUCAGGCACAAUUUGAUUGAGAAUAUAAUGACCAAGAAACAUGUUACAAAAAUUGUAAUCCAAGAAUGUACAACCUAAUCCUUAAGGUUGAAGAAACAAGAAAGAACAAAUUCACAAAAAAUAAGAACUUAUCUGGUUUUUUUAGUCUGUGUCAUAGUGCCUGCAGACCCACUGAUAUGUACACCAUUAAGUAAAUAUAUGCCCUCAGAAUACUCUAGUCGGAUUGCCUAGAAAAUCCUUCCAUAAAAUUUCUGCUGGGUCAGUGCCCAAACAAAUUAAGAUUGUUCACAAAAUAAGACAGUACAAGAAUCCAAUGUUACGUUUCAUUUAAAAAAACAAAUAUCACAUUUUGUCAGUGUCAGCUGGGGCAAGGAUUCAAUACUGGUCUUAUACUGCUUUUAGUGAUCUAUCAGACUGGUACAGUACUACUAUACUGAAUGGUGUACAAACCAGGGUCUGCCGUACCGAACUGUACCGUCCGGUACGGGUGGUACGUACCGGUCCGACAGGUUGUCGGUACGCGGACCGCCUGUUACCGGUCCGAGUGCACUGUAGUACUGUAGCAGUGCACUAUAGCACUACACUGUACUCGAUAUACCUGGGUGUACCGCUCGGUAUACCGUACCGUACUGUACCGGUACCGAGCCCAGGUCGAAAUACCGGUACGAUACGGUAUUGCGAAUCUUGGUACAAACCAGCACCACCCUACAUAAUUGAAUAAAACAAAAAAAAUUAAAUGAAUGGCACUGUACCAAAACUGAGCUAUAUAUCUCAACACUGGUACUUGGUUGAACCGGUAAAUAAAGUCUAUAUGUACCAAUCUGACCAGUAUUUAAGUCCUUUAGAGUAGCAAUGAGAUAACCAAUAGUAUCUACUUCUUACACCAUCAAAGAAAACCAAAGUUGUAGAAAUCUAAUAUAGGAAGUUAAUGCCUUUCAAACAAAAUAUAAACUUGCAUCAACAUAUGUCCAAACGUCACACACACACACACAAGAAAACUAUAAUUUUGCAUGCCUUGAUUUUUGCAUAUAACUUAAAGAUUAAAGAAAAUGGAAAAUGUCACAUGCGCACACACGCACACACACACACACAGUUACAAACCACCUAGUUCAACAAAUCAGGAAAUAAAUGUGUGUGUGUAUUCAAGUGCUUUGUCUUUACCAAAAUGUUCCAACUAUGGAACUUGAUUAAUCAGAUUCAAGUUAAAUUUAUUCACCUUAAGACCUUGGCUUCCUUGAGGAAGGUAACUAUCACGUUUCACCCAAGCAAAACAAUCAAGAUGACAAGAAAAUUUGGCACGACACUCCCCUUGGUUACUGUCGCACUGGAAACCAAUUUCCUGAAAGGAGUAAAUGCAAGCUAUAUAUGAGAAAAGAUACAGAUUAAUGAUAGCAGCAUACUGACUGAAUAACUUCUACAAGAACAAUUGUUGAGUCAUAAGUAAUUAUGUACUGAUAUCUCCACAAAAAAACAAAGAAAUAUCAUAUGCAUGAAUAGUAGCAUAUCAUACAGACACUGGGAAAUCUUUCAUGUGGUACAUGGACCAUACCACUCUCAAAUUAUCAAUCUUAGGUUGUUUCAUUAUAAAAUGAUUAAAAUCAAUUCAUCAUUUAGUGGAAAAUUAAAAUAUUAACAAAAUUUUAGAAUAAGCAACAAAGCACAUCAGACAAUUCACAGUUGGAAGAAUUUAUUAACAUAUUUCUCCAAGGCAAAAAGACCUCUAAUUAUGGAUUGCUUCACACAUGAUAGCACCCUUAAAAAUUGUAUACCUCAAGAUUCAAAUGCCAAAUCAUACCGACCAUACUGACCACUAUAUCAUAACUGAUAAUUGAAAAAAUUAUAUUAUUUUCCAGAAGUGUAUCAUGGUAUAAUAUGCCAACCAGUCUGACAAUGGCCAUUGUAGACACAGCUCGGUAUGUAAAUCCUUGGUACAUACAGCUCCAUCAUAUGACUAGUAUGUAGAGCAACCUUACUGAUUUAACCUACAUAUCAGCCAAAAAAGCAGGGGUCUCGAGCGGUUUUGCUAAUCAGUUCACUUAUAAAUGAAGUGAACUAGUCUGGUCCACUUUAAGAGUAUUUCACACAAUCGAGCCCAAGGCAGCCAGUGAGAGAAAGGAGGUCCAUAAGGCUAGGGCUCUAACUUAAGAGUAGAAUCAUACAAAUGGUAUUCUAAAUUCAGAUCCAUUUUCACCGGAGACUACAUUUUCUUCUUAAAGUAUCAACUCCUAUAUUUCAGCUUAGUGACUUGAUUUAGAGGCUUAAUUUAUAAUUCAUGUUUGAUUUAGCCAAAAUAUUUAAGAAAAGAGUACUAGGCCAAUGCUGGGAUACCGUGUGUUGGUAUUCCAUCAUACCAAAGCCACAAGUGGAUAAGAAUUAAAACUGAUAGAAAAUGAUAUUUUCAGACUAGUUCUAUUCCCCUUCCCUUGCUGAUCACUCCUCUUUUCACUCUAUAAACCAGUCAUCAUCAACACUUUUCCUUGAUCUAUCUUUCCCUUCCCUCCUCUCAACCCUCUUCCAAACCUUCUCCCUACCAUUCUUAAAAGUCUUCUGAAGGAAAAGUCUAAUUUCUCAAGGAGAGUGUUAGAAUUGAAAAUCUAAAAUACUAGGCCCAUGCUGUCAUACCGUGUGUUGGUAUGCCUAGCACAUUUUGGAGUAGUACUAGUCUGGCCAACGGCCGGCAUGGGUCUGGUACCCAAAAUGUCAAACCAUGAUCAUGAUAUUCUAGACUUGCACGUUCACUAUGUGAUAGCAGUAAAAGAUGGAUUUGAACAAGGAACAAGAGUAAGCAUAAUAAGACAAUAAAUGAGCACAUCUAGGGGAAAGGCUGAAUUGUGCUUGUACAAAUGCAGUAAACAAAUCAUGAUAUUCCAGCAUUACACAUAAUUGAAGUUGGAAUUGUAUAAGGUAUAUACGCCACAUCUUGAAUGCAGCUACAUAUAGUUAUCUGAAAGAAUAUUCUGCACACACCUCACUCAUUUUAAUACCAUGAUGAGAAGCUCUUUUCUCUAGGAAUGGCCAGUCGAAGAAAUCUCCAUUGUAAGUGACAUAUAUACCUGGCUUAGCCUCUUGCAUGUGGGCAAACCAUGCUUUUAAAAGCUCUCCCUGCCAUGCCAAGAAAACUUAGAAGUGAGACCAAGAUUAUAAAUUACAGAUGAUGUAUACAAUAACUAAUUUACAGGAUUUAUGGGAAGAUACCUCAUCUUUCACGUUUCUUACUUUAAAGCAACCUUCAAAUUCUGGUUUUGGAGUAUACUCCAAAUCUUCAAUAUCCUCACCAACACACUACCAAUACAGAACAGGGGAUGCAUAAGCAUACAGUUGAUUGACCAAAAUUAAAUGAAAGAUGAGUUCCAGCAUUGCAGAGAUAGUAUGCAAGCAAACCAAGAAAUACAGAAUUUAAGACAACUUUUAAUGAAAUAUUACAUGUUAUUGCCUUUGCCAAAUCAGAUCUUAAUUUAUUAAUAGUUCAAAACAGUAUUGCCAUUAGUGCUAUGAGGUCGCAUUUCAAGACAUAAAAUAACACCAAAGCCAUUUCAAUCACCCAGGAUGAUUAUCAAUUCAUGUUCAGUAUCAUGCAAACUGAGAAGGAUUUCCUGAAGGAAGAAAACAUUAGUUGUGCAGAAUAAUAUAACAUCAUCAGCUUAUAGCAGCUUAAGAAAAAUGGGGGGAAAACAAUGACAAUACGAGAAUUUAAUCAGUGGAAAACAAAUGUAAUAUCUAUUCAAGAAUUUGAAAUUAGCAACAUCAAGCUCCAAUAUCUAAGGAUGUCAAUUAAAAUGGCAUUCUGUCUAACCUCCCGGUUGAUUAUCAAGUACCCUUGUCCAUCGAUCAUGUAUGAUAUCAUCAUUAUGAGAUCAUAUUCAGCAUCUGGAAAUUUCAGAGGGAGCUUUGUUGUCUCAAUAUCAAAUGCACAAACAUGAACUUCUGCCCGUUGAAGAAGAUCAGACCUUUUCUCAAGCAAAAUACCAGCACUAAAGACAGAUAUAUCAUACCACAGACCACAUCUAACAUCUGCAUUAAAUAACAUUUCCAUUAUUAGGUAUUACCACCAAGGUAUACAGUUUCGAAUAAUACCGUCCAUACCGAGCGGUACGUACCGGUCCAUCAGCUGACCGUUACACGGACCGCCCAUUACCGGGCAGAAUAUAUAUAUAUAUAUAUAUAUUUAUUUAUUUAUAAAAGGCGACGUCGCCUUUUUUCGGCAACGUCACCGAGGCGACGCGACAUCACNNNNNNNNNNNNNNNNNNNNNNNNNNNNNNNNNNNNNNNNNNNNNNNNNNNNNNNNNNNNNNNNNNNNNNNNNNNNNNNNNNNNNNNNNNNNNNNNNNNNNNNNNNNNNNNNNNNNNNNNNNNNNNNNNNNNNNNNNNNNNNNNNNNNNNNNNNNNNNNNNNNNNNNNNNNNNNNNNNNNNNNNNNNNNNNNNNNNNNNNNNNNNNNNNNNNNNNNNNNNNNNNNNNNNNNNNNNNNNNNNNNNNNNNNNNNNNNNNNNNNNNNNNNNNNNNNNNNNNNNNNNNNNNNNNNNNNNNNNNNNNNNNNNNNNNNNNNNNNNNNNNNNNNNNNNNNNNNNNNNNNNNNNNNNNNNNNNNNNNNNNNNNNNNNNNNNNNNNNNNNNNNNNNNNNNNNNNNNNNNNNNNNNNNNNNNNNNNNNNNNNNNNNNNNNNNNNNNNNNNNNNNNNNNNNNNNNNNNNNNNNNNNNNNNNNNNNNNNNNNNNNNNNNNNNNNNNNNNNNNNNNNNNNNNNNNNNNNNNNNNNNNNNNNNNNNNNNNNNNNNNNNNNNNNNNNNNNAUAUAUAUAUAUAUAUAUAUAUAUAUAUAUAUAUAUAUAUAUAUAUAUAUAGUGUGUGUGUGUGUGUGUGUGUGUGUGUGUGUGUGUGUGUGUGUGUGUACCGAGCGGUAUACCGAAUAGUAUACCGCUCGAUAUACAGUAUCGUACCAUACUGAGCGAACGUCAAAACUCUGAUACGGUACGAUAUUUCAAUCCUUGAUUACCACUAUAGAUCAUAUAGGAUUGUGCAGUUUCUACAAACAAAGAAAAGAACAUUAACAUAAAACCUACCAUUAUCAAUAGCAAAACGAACAUGAUAGGGAACAUCAUAUUCACGAAGAUCAAUAAUGCAAUCCAUUAGAUCUUGUGGCCUUUCCUUUCUGAAAUAGACAAUCAAAAAAGCAAAAACAAAGCCAUUAGAUAAGACAGUAAUAUGUGAGUACCUAAUACAGGCAAAAAACAAAGCCAAGGUACCAAACCAUAAAGAAAGGAAGUGAACAUAGAAUGAAAACUCAAGUUUUAGAUGAUUGGCAUUAUGGCAUAUAUAACAACAUUGACUAUUUU